rnacentral:lncRNA from 1 species
UCGGUUCAAUAAAUAAGUUGUUCACACUUCACAGCCAUCCAUGUGCAUAUACAGUAAGUUAAUAACACAAAAUCCGAGUAAAUUUAUGCCACAACAAGGUUUAUUAUUGUUAUUUCAAAUAACUGAUGCGACAACAAAUAAUAUUAAUCACGGACAUCAUAUGAUAUUAGUAAGGCGUUGUUGAGGAUGAGAAGCAUGUACAACUCCUCGUUUUCUUUGAUGAGCGCCUCCGCACCAGGCAUAUCUGGAAGCUCUAACCAACACAUGAUGAUAGGGUUGUAAUUAAUAUCCACACAGUCGAGCAGAUGCAAGAACUGUUGCCCACUCUUGUCACCUUGGUAGUCCUUGAUCAGUCCGUGGCACACGUUGAGGCGUCUCACCACACCUUCAUACUCCAUCUCACAAUAACUAAGAACGUGCAUUGCCACUGUUCCCUUCUUGGCAUCUUGCAGCUUUUGCUUGAUCUUACCACUAGCGGCAGUGACACGGCUCUUAAAGAUGUCGACAGUGACAAGCACUAAGUCACGGAGGUCCUUAGCCUCGGCACUUCGAUUGUCCGACUGAAGGGUGGACAAACAGAAUUCUUGCGUGAUAGAUUUGUUGCAGGGGUUGUUGAUCGAGGCCUUCUUGCAUGCUUCCACCAUGAGCUUGGUCGCCUUGGGCUUGCCAGUGUCAGAGCCACUAGCAUGAGUGGAAAAAAGGAAGAAUAUGAUGGUGGAGAGGACGAUGGUAGUCCUUGGCAUUGCUACCAUUACUACAGGGCUAGCUAGAAGCCUUGAAGUACUGAAGCGCUGAGAGGGAGGUGGAGAAAAAUAGACAGAGAAGGAUGUGUAUUGCAGAGAUGGAUGGGUGGAUGGAGGUGAUGUACAUGAGGCUGAGAAUUCUUUAUAAUGCCUGCAAUGGGGUAUCAUAAAUGCAGUAUGCAGCUUUGGUCCAGAAUAUGUGUACUAUCGGUGUCCAGUAAAUGUUGAAUGCCCAUUUUGGAUCUCUACAUAUUAAUGCUCUCUCUAUGUUCACAAAUACACAGAUGCUCACUAUAGAUCUUGUUGUAGUAACACAUAUCUUACUUAUAUGAAUCCAUUAAUGCAACGUAGCUUGAUCAAGGAUAUCCCAAAUGAUUAGUGUGCACCGAAUGCCCAUAGAUAUGUUGAUGCUCAUUUUGGUACGUCUUAUUUGCAUUGGUGUUUUCUAAACAUCAUUUUGUAUAACUGAUUUGUUACUUCUACCUCCCUUUGGGGGACGAUUAUAUUUUCCCUCAUCAAGUCUAUAAUUGCUCAUUUUUUCUUUGCAAUUUUCGAGUAGUUACAAAUAAUUCUCAGGGAGCAGGCACUUAGUUAACUUGGUGACACAAUAAAUAUUUUUGUUAAAAUAUCAAAGUUUUAUAUCUUAAAUUUUUUUAUUUCCAAGUCGAUUAUUGUCUGAUGGGUUGACUUUUACAACAGUUGUAUUCCCCCAGUUAAAAAUCACAACUUAUUUUAGGGAUUAAAUGAUGCCAGCCGGACUAACAUAUCAUUCGUAGGCACUGUCAAAAAAUAAGCAUGUUUACUGCCCACCGCCUAAGAAAAUAAAAAAAAAUUACCAAUACCAACACGUCACAGUAUGGGUUUAUUUGGUUUCGAUUCUCGUUACUACGUAGUAGGAAGGAAAAAAAAGAGCUAUCGAUCAUAAGGAGGUAACCUGUAUCAUAGGUACAUGAUGCGCACGUACACGCCGGUAUCUUAUAUUUUAUAUUUUAUAUCUUAUAUUUACUAAUUGGAAGCACCUUUCAAGCCUUCUCAUUAAUCAACAUUAUAAAAAUUAAUUACACCGUUGUAUUAUAGAAUUUACGUCUAAGAUGAAAGGAGAACUUACGUAACAUAAACUUGGAAGGAAAAAAGAUAUAGGGAAAGGAGAAUAAAAAUAGAAGUAAAACAAAGAAAAUAAUUUAGAUGGGCCAGCCCAUUAUUGUUUGCCUUGUGCGAAAUUCUGACUAUUUAUGGCGCUGUGCGGAAAAUAGAGUUUUUCCAGCUGCAUGGGCAGAAAAAUAAGUGGGCUGGCUUUGCUGGGCCACCGCGCGUGGCCCACGUACAACAAUUCUUUUUCUAGCAAACAAACGCAUAAGACCUUUGUACCACCUCGGGUAGAAAGAUUGUUUUUUCGACGGUGAACGGAUGAAAAUAUAGGCAAAACGCACCUUGCUUCAUUAGUAGUAGCACAUAUGCCCGUGCAUUGCAACGGGAGAGAUGUUUCUUUGGAGAAGCAAUGGGAGAGAUAAUUGAUGUAUCCACCAAAAAUGAUCUCCAUAGCGGUGUGAUAGAGAGAGGAGUUGUGGUCUUCUAGCGGGUCAUGUUUCUCCCGCCAGAUAUUGAUAGUGGUGCACUUAGUCGGCAUAGCGGCAACCAUACAACUCGUGCAUUUUUUUCCUUUGGGUCAGUCUCUGUCUCGGGGUUGUGUCUGCCUCUACGUUUGGUAGCUAUGCGGCGACCUUCAGAGCACGGUUGCUUCGACCACUCUCUCUUAUGAUGGCGUAACCGGAUGAAUUACUAAUUGUAGCGCUUAAAUCCUGUUUCAUUAGCAUAUAUAUUUAGCGCAUAACCAGAUAUCAAUGUCCCUUCUUUAUUAGGGUUUAUUUUCUUUGAUUAUUUUAGCGCUCACGUGCCCACAACUAUUUUAUUCGAGCCAAACCAACAUAUUCUCUUUUAUUGGACCAAGAAAAAAUUGCUCCCUCAGACGACUCAGUAGGGAGUGUGGUUGAGGCCCAAUACAGCCUAUAUGACGCUAGUUGCGUAAAAUAACGUGUGAGAUGCACAUCAGUUCGUGUAUGGACCAACACACUGGUAGGCGCCAAGACGACCUAUGUUAGGAAGGCACGGAAAAAUCCAAAAAAUAAUGAGUUGAAGGAUCAAAAUCAUGUCCUGAAAGAGCCGACUACGUGCUCAUUGCCACUCGAAGAAACGAGUCCUACCAACCAAUGGCCAGCUCAAACCUUUAAGAUCAUACUCCAAUGUGAGAUUGGAUACAAUUUUUUUAACUGUUUAAAAAAUAUAAAUUGCUGAAUAUUCCUGAAAACAUGAAUAAUUUUUAAAAUCACAAACACUUUUUGAAAUUCUUUACAUUUUCAGAAAUACACAACAAAAUUGGAAACCCUCAAAAUUCACAAAUUUAUUUGAAAUCAUAAACCUUUUAUAAUAACAUGAACACGUUUUGAAAAUGUGAUUUUGUUUGAAAAAGAAACAUAUUUUGAACAUUCAAAACAUUUUUUGAAAAUGUGUUUCUAUAAACUUGGACAUUACUUUGAAUUUGCGAACAUUUCACUAAAACAAAAAUAUUUUUCAUAUUUGGAACAUUUCCUAAAUGCAUUUUUUUUGGGAAAAUCUCAAACAACUUUGGAAAACACAAAGAAAAAAUGGAACAUUUUUUGAAACGUGAACGAAUUUUGGAAUGAGAACAAAGCACUAUUGGGAAAAGGCUAAUUAGUGGCGCACAUAUUUUUGCUAUUAAUGGCGCACUAUAGGUGCGCCAGUAUUACCACGCCACUAGUAACAAAUAGUAAUGGCGCAUCUAUAGUGCGCCAUUACUAUGCCUAGAAGGUGCGCCAUUACUAUCUGACUUAGUAAUGGCGCACCACAUAGAAGUGCGCCAUUACUAACAAUUUUUUUUCAAAAAAAAUAUCCAAAUUUUUUCAAAUAUUUUUCCCUUUUUUUCUUAAUCUCAGGUCAAUAUGCUUAAUCUCAAGUCAAAUCGAUCCUAUUAAACCUUAUUGAUGUCUAGGACUUUGUUCAUGUUCAUGAGUGUGAUGAAAUUUCAAACUUCCCGGUCAUAUUACGUAUCAUAUUUUGAAAUGUUACUAGUGGCGCACCUAGCAAAUGGUGCGCCACUAGCAAGUUUGAUUUUUUUUGUUUUCCCCUCUCUAGAUCCUAAAAGCCCCGUAUCUUUCAUUCUGUUAGGUUUUUGUGGAUUCUGAAAAUCUUGUAACUUUUCGAGUAGAUGCUUUUUCAUAUAUAAAACUUUUUAAUCCGAGUUCAUAUGUAAAAGUUAUGCCCAUUUUACUAAAUUCCAGAGAGAUUUUGCAAAUAAAGUCGAAAUUUAUAUUUGUAAAUUUUCCCAAAACCUAGACCACAUAUCACAUGGAAAACUUAUUUUCUUUUAUUUUUUUGACAUUUCCAUCAUUUUCUUUUUUUUUCUAAAACUGAAAAGACGGUCCAGGGGGUGGGGGUGCAAAGAAAGUUAGUAAUGACGCACCUUCACAAAGUGCACCAUUAUUAUGUGUAUGACUUGGUCAAACCUUGGUCAAAGUUAGUAAUAACGCACUUUGUGUAGGUGCGUCAUUACUAAGUUUGACAUACUAAUGGCGCACCUAUGCAAAAAUGCGUCAUUACUAAGUUUGAUCAAGGUUUGACCCAGUCAUACACAUAGUAAUGAUGCACUUUGUACAGGUGCGCCAUUACUAUGUCAACUAGUAAUGACGCACUAUCCUCUAGUGCGCCACUGCCAACAAUUUUUUUUAUUUUUUCUUCAAAACUAGUACUAGCGCACCACACACCAGGUGCACCACUAGUAAUAUGUCAAUAAUGUUGCACCUGUAUCUAGUGCGCCACUGCAUAUAUGGUGCGCCAUUAAUGUCCACAUUAGCUAUAGCCCUUUUCCUAAUAGUGAAGAUUUAAUGUUCUGAACAUUUUUCGAAAAGGAAUAUUUAUUAACAUCCCAAACAUUUUUAAAAAACGGAUUUGUGUGAUAUUAUGAGUUUUAUUGAAAAUUUUGGUUUUACGAAAAAAGGGGAGAUAAAGAAAUAAACUUGAAAGUAAAAAAGAAAAAAGAAAAGAAAAGAAAAUAGAAACCAAUGGAGAAAGAAAAAUAGAAACAUAACACAGAACAAAAAAAAACGGUUCGACCGAGCUCGAGCGCCCGAUGCGAAUUUGUGACUAUUUUGGAAUGAGAACAAAUAUUUAUAUUAUAAACUUUUUCAAAAAGGAAUAUAUUUAAAGUUCUGAACAUUUUUUAAAAAAAUUGAUUCUUAUGAUAUUAUGAAUUUUUUGAAAAUUUUGAAUUUACAAAAAAAGGGAGAAAAAUAAACUUGAAAGGAGAAAACACCAAAGAAAAAGUGAAAGAAAUGGAAAAAAAUAGAAACAUAUUUUAAAGUUCUGAGCAUUUAAAAAAAUCGAAUUUUUAUGAUAUUAUGUAGUUUGUUGACAAUUUUGAAUUUACGAAAAAAGGAGAAAAAGGUCAACUUGAAAGGGAAAAAGACCAAACAAAAGGAGAAAGAAACGGAAAAAGAAAAACAGAAACAUAACACAAAACAAAAAAAAGAAUAUAUUUCAGCCCAGCUUGGGCGCCCAGUGCGAAUUUACGACUAUGUAACGCUAAUUGCGAUAAAUAGGAUUUUUCCACCUGCAUGUACACGAAAAUAACUGGGCUGGAUUUCCUGGGCCAAUACUGUGGGCGGCCCAUGUACGAGAUCUGGCGUUUUUCUUUUCUAAUAGACAAACGGACAAAAAAAUUGUACCACCUCGAAUAGAAAAAAAAUCUUUUCGUUGGUGAACGGAUGAAAAAAUCAAAGAAACACACCUUGCUUUAUUAGUAGGUAUAGAGGUAUAGAUAUAGAUAUAGAUAUAGAUAUAGAUAUAGAUAGUAUUGAUAGAAAAAUGAAAUUUUCCAUCCAUGCUAAUCUUAACAUAAAUUGUUUAAGAAUUCGUUGGUACACAUAAAAACAUCUAAUGUGAAUAAUCUAUGGUUCUUAUAGUAUUUGCUAGGAUAUCAUGUAUGUUAAAGGAAAGUCAUGCAUGCAUGUGUCCAUUAUUGUGUAUAGAAACAAAGUAUUUAUAAUUCUACCAUUCUUCCGUGGCAAAAACAAGCAUGUAUUCCUUCUUUUAGGUUAACUAAGAAAGGCUACAAUAGAACACUCGACCUUUAUGCCUUUUAGAAACUUCUAGAUCACGAGUGCAUGAUGCACACAAUAACUUUUGCGUUUGUAACUAUGUUUUCUACCAACAUAAAAAAUAUACCCUUAUAUAACCUUCAUAAAGUAGCACAUUCUUAUUUCCACAUAUCUUCUAUAAAUUUGACGUGAUUUUCCAUCACACAGCGAUAUUUUUAUACUUUUGUCACAAAAUUGGACAUAAACAAUCAAUCACAAAAUAGUCAAAGAAUUGUAACUUCAUUGGAUCCAAUGUGCAUGUGUAAUAAUAAUAACCUAUAUCCAAAUGAUUGUUUGAUAUUUAUAAUUUGUCAAAAAUAUGUUAUAUCUGAUAUUACAAUUGCUAGCCCGUGCAGGUGCACGGAUUGACGACUAGUGAUAUGUAGAUAGAAUUAAUUAUGAUUACCACUCAAUAAUUUUUCUUUAUGGAUAUCCAAAUUUAUGUUUAGAAUCAACAUUUCUACUUCAAUUUUUUCCGGGGAUUUUUUUACUUAGUAAACAUAUGGAUAUUUAGAAAUUUUUUGUGCUAAUUGUGUGCUCUCCUUAGCCUAUGUUACAAUGCAUGGUUUUCUCGGUUAUUUUAGAAAAUGCAUGUACUUCUCUAUCGCCAACUUCUCACAGAUGGAGUUAAGUUUCGUAAAAGUUUAGAAUGGCAGCCAACAUGAAAAAAGAUAAAAGUAUCAUCAUUUGCACAUUUUUUUUCACCUUCUUCACUAUCUAUAUUUAUGGAUAUUCACUUUGCGAUUUAUAUUUUCCCAAUUCGCUACAAAAGCGCAGAACAAACAUUUUAGAAAAUAAAUGCAAAAUGUGUAAAAUAAAAUGUGUAGGUACAUAAUUAAAAAUCUUGGACGACGAUAACUGCCACACGUGUGGCAUCUAGGGGCUAUGUGCCGCACGCCCCGUGUGGCAUCGACACAGGCCCGCCCGCACGAGCACGUCCGCGUGCACCCCACCACAGCCCGCACGUUCGGUGUGCGGCGCAAUCGCCCGCACUAGCACGUCCGGGCGAGCGACCUCACGGCCCGCACGACCCGUCUCGGCCCUCGCCCCUCCCCGCCUGCGAGCCACACGCCCCGCGUGGCAGUAACCACGCGUCCCGCCGCGAUUGCCAUGGUCUGAACCCUCUUCCAUGUUCGUUUAACUGUAGUUGCCAUGUUGCUGAACUGCAGUUGCCAUGUCUGACAACUACAGUUGCCAUGGUUGCUCAACUGCAGUUGCCAUCUCAGGUCAAGUGUCGGAUGCCAUUUUUGGGCAACUGUAGCUGUUGCCAUGUAUGGUCUGGUCUACUACAGUUGCCAUGAUUUGAAAACUUUAGGAUUUACAACCUACUAACACUAGACAGUUGCCAUGUAGCACUACAAAAGCAUGGCAAAAAACAUGUUCAGGUAAAAGAGAGAGUUGCCAUCUGCUUACAAGCACACUAGGGCAGUUGCCAUGUACCCUGCAAAAACACAUGGCAACUGAUAGCUUUUGGUGUGUGGGAGAGGAGACGGGCAUGUGGGCGACGAUGGUAUCUUUAGGAGUUGCCACCUACUAACACUAGACAGUUGCCAUGUAGCGCUACAAAACAGACGUGUCAACAAUAACAUGUUCGGGGUAAAGAGAGUUGCCAUCUGCUUAUAAUCACAAAUAGGGCAGUUGCCACACACUAGCACUGGACAGUUGCCAUUUAGCGCUACAAAAACAGACGUGGCAACAAUAACAUGUUCGGGGUAAAGAGAGUUGCCAUCUGCUUACAAUCACAAAUAGGGCAGUUGCCAUGUACCCUGCAGAAAACAUGACAAAUGACAACUUGGUGUGGGAGAGUGGGAAAAAGGGCAGUCAUGGGAGAUGGGGAACAGAAGUCGUGCGCGGCGUGCGGGCGCGACAGCAGUUCCACCGCACGCCCCGACUCGCAAUCGGUCUCGUCCGAGGGAGAAACAGCGUGCGGGCGAACUACCUACACACCACACACCGGGCUUGUCCUACUUGGCACACCAAAUCCAACUUUUGGUGUCAGGAUUCAUGCAAAAAACAACCAACGACAAUCCAGGCGUGUGGGCGAGUUGAAAACGUUCCACGCGUGUAGGCGUUAGUGUUUCCGAAAAUCUUAUAUCUCCGUCUCAAACAAACAAAAGCCUCCUUCCAUAAGAAACAGCUCAUACGUGAAACUCUUCUCGCCUAUUAAAAAAAAGGAAAAGCAUCCCUCCCCGAAAAAAGAGAAAACGUCUUCACUAGCUCCUGUACUUUUUUAGGCAACCACGUCUCCUCUAUAUGGCCAGAUCUUUCAAGGCUUCUUACUAAUCAGACCACUACGUUGUAAAUUUAUAUCCAAUAAAGAAAACCUGCCGAAUCAUAGAUGGUCUCGUCCAAAAAAAUGUCAUGUGAUACGUCCAACGUUGUCAAAAAAACAUCCUCCAUUCCUUAAAGAGAAAAGAUAGCGUCCUUAGAAAAGCACUACCAAUAAAAGGAAAAGAAAGACGGAAUCCAAUUGAUGACCGAUGAAACUCCAUAAAUAAAAUCUUCUGUCGAUCGAUUUUAAAAGAAGAAACAUCUGGCUCAGUUCCUCUACAUGGCCGCAUACUCCACUUCCUCUUCAAUCCUGCUCUCCUACAUGUGGCUGGUGGUGGCGAUUUCUCUAACCGAAGGAUAUACCCAACUCGCCAUCACCAUCAAGUGCGCUCUCCCACCAGCAGGGCCAACAACAAACUGCAAAGGAACCUGACGACAGGUGCUGCGAGGUAUGAUGCAAGAUCGACUGCGACCCCAAGCGGCAAUCGAUCUUCCUCAUUGUUAUUGUCACCGCGUCUCCUUCCAUCCACCCCGGGCAUCAAAGUUCACCCUAUUUUAUGAUAAUAAAAAAGUCCAACUACCAAGUACAAGCUCUAAUAAGUUCUUCUUGGAUUCAUGCUCCGACAAGACUAUGAUCCAACUAUGAUAAUAAUGGAUUAAGGCGCAGAUUGCUAACACUUAUCUGCAUAUAUAGUACGUAUGCAUGUCUUUAUUUUGAUCUUAGAAAAAAGAGAAAAUUAGCUAUUAAAGCAUCUUUAAAUACAUACAAAUUACCGAAGUAACAAGAAAAUAUGGAUGUACCAUGCGCCACGAAGAUCUAAUAGACACACAAUUAUCUAUGUGGUAUAGGUAUGUAUACAGUAUGGAUAGAAAAUAUAAAAAAAUGACAUCCGUAUUAAAAAUAUAAGAAAUUCUUUAAGAAUUUGUUUGUUGAGACUAGAACUUAAAACCGGAAUAAUCUAUGGUGCUUAUAGUAAUGAGAAUAUACUACAAACUUUUGUUUGCCAUCACACAAUGACAAUAUUAAUGAGGUUGUCACACAAUUGGAGGCAAACAAUCAAAUAACAAAAUAGUCCGAAGCAAUGUAACACUGUUGAACCUUAUGUCUAACAAAGAUAAACAUGCAUGUGUGACAACAAUAACCCAUAUCAACAUAUUAUUAUUGGCUGACAUUUCUAAUUUGUAACAACUUUGUUGUAUGCAAUAUUAAAAGUGCUAGCCCGUGCAUGUGCACGGGUUGAUGACUAGUAUAAUAUAACUCUGAGACAUGCCUAUAUAACCUCUUAUUUGCAUACGUUCUUUUAAAACAUAGCAUAGACAAACCACAUUACAUUAUAAUAAUGAAUUUGUUUUUUCUCGGUGACAGGGUAACUGUUAUUUCUAUGUCGACCAGUUGUACCUUGAAAGAAAGUGUUAUAAAACAAUUAUGUUACUCCCUCCUCCAUCACUGUUUUCAUUGACCAGAGCCCCCACUCCACACAUAUCGACAAGCUCGGAGUCCCGCUCAUCGAUAUGAUCGUAUGCCAUAUCCACACAACUGGCGAGCUCAUUGGAGCGUAGCCCGUCCUCGUCGCCUUGGUAAUCCCUGAUCGUGGCAUCACAUAUGUUGAGGAUGCUCACCAGUCAUAAUCCGCCUCACAAAAACUAAGGACACGCAUUGGCACCGUGCCCUUCUUGCUUCAUGUGUCUGUUGUCUUGGCGCACCCAUUUCGUCCACCGCCAUCCGUUUGUGUCGGCGCGGACAGAAAAGUCGGCCCAACGCGCCGACACAAAUGGACGCGCGUCCGAUUUCGUCCGCCUGCCUAUCCAUUUCCGGCCCAUUUUUUAGCCGGAUUUGCGUCGGCGGAGACAAAAGACGGACGCACGCGCUCACCCUCUCUCCUUUCCGGGCGCGCUGGUCGGUGGCACAUUGGCCUCUCCACAUCAAACAACACACCCUCGCCCGCCUGCUUCAUCGCUGACGCCGCCGGUCAUUUUUUCCGAUAGAAAAAUGAUACAUAGAUAGUUUUAGCAUACACAGAUAAAAAAAAGAUCAACUACUCGUCGCUUUCCGACUUCGACUCGGUAAUGUCCUCCUAUGACGUCUAAAUGUAGGCGUCAGCAUGCUGAUCAUCUUCAAAGUCUCACCCCGGCGUUUCUCGUAGCUUCAGUUUCAAUUGAGCGGCCUGCUUGCGCGCACGCUUGUCCUCCCGAUAGGCGGCUCGCUCCGUCCUCCUCACCUCCUUCUCCGUCCUCCUUUGCGUGUAGAACUGGCGCUCAUUGACGAUGUCCUGCAGAAAGCGUUCGCGCCACACCACCAUGGCUUCCAUGUCCAUCUCGGUGAUGGCGAGGCGACGCUGCCGCCUCCGGUGGACACGACGAUCCUCGUCGGUGAAAUGCCGCGGGAGAGGCGCGAGAUCCUGCGCCGCUGGCUCGACACGUCAGGAAAAUUCAUAUCCCAACGAGGCCUCAGGAGGCACGACGCCGCCGCGUCGUGCGCGCGGGCCGACUCCUCUGCGGUGUUGAAGGUGCCGAGGAUGAGGCGUUUCUCGCCAAACCUGAUCUCUGAGGAGAAGGCACCAGAGCGGCGCUCGCGGACUCCGCGAAAAUUUGAAGCGCCCAGGCGGCGCAUCGACAUGGUGGCGCAGAGGCGGCGAGGCUAGUGAUAGGGGGCGACACAAGUGGGCGGCGGACAGAGUGUGGAGGGAGCGCCUUCUUAUAACGAGCGCCGGCCGCGGCGCGCGCGCGAACCUUUCCCGCGCGCUGGAGCACCGAAACCAGCACGCGCUAGGCCACUUUUCCCCCACGCGUGUGAACCUUUCCCGCGCGCUGGAGCGCCAAAACCAGGGAGACGGCAUGGCAGCUGGCAUGAUCGAAAGCGCGUGCGAUCAUGAAGUGGGUCGGACCGUUGGACGCACUGCCGACCCAAAUCUAAAAGAGGGCGGACGGCGGGCGGGCGGCAGACCCAAACGUACAAAAAGCGGACAACAACGCCGUCCAUCUGGGUCGGCCCGUUGAAGUUGCUCUUAGGGGUGAACCUCUGUCUCCCGUAGGGCCCCAUGUGUUUGACAACACAUGGGGUGGCCUGUUCAGCACGCCAGUGUGAAAAAUCAUGACACAGGCAUGAGGUAAUAGUUAGUGGUCUACUCCCUACGCCUGGGAGUUAUCACAUCAUAGGAGUAGGUAGCUCCAGUAGAUAAGUUUCCCUAUAUUGGAUAAAGAUCAAUGGAACGCCUCGUAGGUGUGAGUAGCGAGUUGCCAAAUAUAUAUGUUAUACGGAAUUAAAUUAUAGGAAUCCUGCUAGCUGAGCAGCUGUGAUUUUCCUUUUGAAAAGUAAGGAAAUGGAAUAGGGAGAAGAUUUUGCAUUUUAGAAUAAAGAAUCUGCUCAAGAUGCUCUAUAAUAUUUCCUGACUUGGGCACAUCAUUGUUUUCUUUUAUUUGAGACGCAGAUUGGAGCACAGCAUUUGCUGGUAAUUAAGCAAAUGCAUGAUGCAUGCCAACAUGACACUUGGGAAAAUAACAAGACUACACUUCCUACAGUAAUACAGAUUCACGCGUAAGGUCAAGUCUAAAAAGAUGUAUCGGGAUCAGCUUCCAUUUCAUAUACUCCAUGGUGGAAUAUGAUGUCACGCUUGUUAUCAAGGUUUUGGAUCGGGAGUGAACAGUGGACUAGACAAACCAGUGUGCCAGGGUGGUCCAAUAGUAGAAAUCUUUACAUAAAUUUAUUUAUUUUCAAAGAAAUAAUUUUUCUACUACACUAUAUACAUGCUGUGGGGAAAAUUCAGGGUGGUCCAUGUCCACCCCCUAGCUAAGCCACUACGAGCGGACCUUUUCUCUAAAGGGGCACCAAAAUUCGAGGUUACUAAGGUAACCACGAAAUACAAAAAAAUCAGACGAAAUUAGAAAUCAUUUUAAGUUGAUAUAGAUAGUUAUUUAUCUUUACCUAAUAAUAAAGUAUAAAGUGCGUCUACCCGUUCACCAUCAUCCAAAUUACCCUCGAAGUUGGCGAGAAUUACCCACUAAUGCCACCUGUAAGUGGCAAAAAUAAUUCGCUUUUUUCCAUGCUGGUUCAAUAUGAAGCUAUCUUCUUAUGUGACACAAGUACAUGCGCAUCCCACCGGCUAGAGGUUCGAUCCCAUGUUCUCCCCAUUCUAUCUCCCUUUUCUCUCUUGUUGUUAGAGGGUUGAUUGCGCCAGCCCAGCACGGCCUUCAACUCUCUUUCUUUCCUUUCUUACAGACAGUUUUUCUUUCUUUCGGCUUUAUUUCGAAAUACUUUAAAUAUUUCUAUGCAUUAAAGAAAUGUUAAACUUCUCUACAAAAAAUAUUUCCACUAUAUAUAAACAAAUGGGUAGUGUGUAUGGAAAGCAAAAUUAGGAAAAUAAUAACGUAAGUUUCUGUUUUUUUGAAAAAAAUUAAGCAUGCAUUUAAAUAAAUUUAAAUGUGUACAAAAAUUGUUUAUGAUGUAUACAAAAAUAUACAAUAUGUUUAGAACAAAGUAGACAUAAAAAAGUAUAUGUCUUCAAAAAUAUUAAUCAUGUAUUUGGACGAUGUUAACCAUGUACAUAAAAAUGAUCAUGAUGUACACAAGAAAUAUAGAAUGCGUAUAGGAAAAUUGGAAAUCAAAAAACUUAUGGUUAAAAAAAGUUGAAAACUAAAUUGGAAAAAUGUUAUACUUGUAUAUCUAAAUGUUUGUCAUGUAUACAAAAAAAAUACUGUGUUCAUGGAGAAUAUAGAGAUAAACAAAAUAUUUUACCAAAUGUUAAUUAAUUAUUUAAAAAUGUAAUAAUUUAUUUUUAAAUUUCUAAAUGUGAUAUAAAAUGUUUCUGGUAUAUAAAAAAAAUUUAUAGUGUAUAUGAGCAAACGUAGACAUAAAAAAUAUAAGUUCUCAAAAAUAUUAAUUAUAUAUUUAGAAAAUGUUAAACAUGUAUAUAAAAAUUAUUCUUGGCGUAUAAAAAAUGUAGAAAGAAAACGAACAAAAACUAUAAAAUUGAAAAAGAAACAAAAAAAGCAAAGAAAGCAAAAAAAUAGCAAAACCCGUAAAACCAAAAGAAUAUACCAAAAAAUAAGAAAGAAAAAACAAGAAUGAUAAAAACGUGCUAUCAUUAAUUACUAACAUGUACUUUGUUAUCUUCAUCACACUACAAAUAUUUGUUGGGCAUCAUCAAGGACGAACGACAACAAAUGCGUAAUGAGAUACCUCCAACUAGGUAGAUAUUUUUGUUGUCUAAUAAGUUAAAAACAUCUUGAGUACACUUCAAAAAUCAUCCCAUUUUUAUAUUUUUACACAACACCACUUAUCAUGUUAUUUGUCAUGUGACAUCGUGAAAGAUUUCAAGGGAUUUACUAAUGUCUUGAGAGUGUGUAUGAGGGGUGACUUUUUCUCCCCCGUUGAAAGAACACAAAGCCUGCCCUUCUUCGGAAAACACACACACACACACAUACACACACAAAGCAAGCCCUACCGUAUUGGCUGUUCACCCUUAGCUGCCGCUUGGUCAAACGUCGCGAGUUUGACGUUCUUACCUUUUGCAUCCUCUAAAAGAAGUAAAAAUGAAAGCGAUGAGACUCGAACCCGAGACUUGCUGCUGCGGAAAGCUUGGCUUUGCCACCUAGGCCAUGACCUGUCAUGAUGUUCAAUAAGAGAUGCCACGUAUUUAACUAUGAGGUGGGCGUUUGAAUUCAAAAGUUUCAAAANNNNNNNNNNNNNNNNNNNNNNNNNNNNNNNNNNNNNNNNNNNNNNNNNNNNNNNNNNNNNNNNNNNNNNNNNNNNNNNNNNNNNNNNNNNNNNNNNNNNNNNNNNNNNNNNNNNNNNNNNNNNNNNNNNNNNNNNNNNNNNNNNNNNNNNNNNNNNNAAGAACAUUAUUAUUAUUAUUUCAAAUGGAAGUAAUGUUGGUUUUACAUGAACAUUGUUUCUGGCAGAAAAUCUUAUAUUUACUAAUUGGAGGCACCUUUCAUGAUCUCUCAUUAAUCCACAUCAUCAAAAUUAAUUAAACUGUUGGAUUGUAAAAUUUAUGACCAGGAUUAAAAAAACAACUUGUGUAACGCAGAUGAUGCUGUCCUAUAAAAAGUGCACCUGACACGUACAACUUUUGUUAAACAAACAAAGAAAAGACUCACAUAAAAAAACGGAAGCCACAAGUAAAAAAGGGAAAGGCCCCACCAGUUCCCACAAAUUAAGUAGAAAAACAGCCUCAUGCAAGAAAAAGAGGAAAGUCCCUACCGUAUCCCACAAAUUAAGAAGCAAAAUUUUCCAUAAAAAAACCUAAUGAUAAGAUGCCAAAACAAAAUCCCAACGUUAAAGGAAAAAAAUCGACUAUCGGGCAGAUUGCCCGUGAAAUAAAAGAAAGCAAACUCGCGUAACAAAACUUAAACCUCCACCCAUCUGAACAAAUAAAAACACUAUGUACCAAACAGAUCAAGCCAAAAUGUACAAAAAAAAUAGAAGUCACGUAAAGAAAAAGGGAAAGUCCUUAGCAUCCGCGUUACUUCUCAUAAAAAAAUAGGGUUCUCACCACGUACAUAUAAUUGAAGAUUAAGCACACGCCUUCCAAAAAAAAUAGUCCUUAGCAUACACGUUACUUCCCAGAAGAAAAACAAGCUACAAAAACAGUUUUCACCACAUACAUGAAAUAAAAUCUUACAAAGAAACAUACGGCUUGAUCUUUGGUGUGGGACAUGACAAAAAAAGACACAACCUCAAAAAAUGACUUCGCAUUACGUAUGUGAAAUAAAACCUUGCAGAAAAAAAUACAUACAUGAAAUAAAAGAUUAAACAUACAUGACCAAAUAAAAACAAGGAAAGCCUCACGUCAAUCGAAAAAGCAAAGGAAAAACUCCACCCGCUGCACAAAUUAAGAAGGAAUGUCUCUGUUAAAAACUCCAAGAUAAAAUGUAAAAAAAGUCCAAUGAUAAAAAUGGAAAAAUUCCGCGAUCCAGCUGAUUGACCGUGAAAUAAAAACUAGACCCAAUGGCUCCAUCAAUAAAAUAUUCUCCCGACAAAAAUCUGUGUGGACUCAUCUGUACGGCCGAUGCCUCCUCCUCUGCUUCAAUCCUGCUGUCCUACCAAUGGCCGCCGAUCACGAUUAUUUGUCACUGAAUGUGCUUUCCCACCUGCAUGGCCAUCGGUGAACCACAAAGUGUCACAAGGGCGGCCUAAUUUAUUUUUCUAUAUGCUACAACAAAAAUACCUCUCAUGUUUAGUUGGACAGUAUAUUUUUUAAAGGGAUAUUGAAGCUGAAGUUUGUCAACCACGGAUGUGGAGCUGGUCGAGACUGGUGGCUAGAUGACAAAGGCUCCGCUCGGCAAGGAAAGAUUUGCAUUGAGCUAAGACUCAUGACUAAUUGAUAUAAUCUAAGAGAUGAUGAACCAAGAAAAUUAUAUUAGAAAUAAGUUGGAUGUUAUUUGCAUUAUUCUAUUUUGAGGAGUAAAAUUAUUUUUUUGGGAAUUAGACAAUCAAACUAUUGUUAUGAUUUCUUGAACUGGCCACAUAGGCCACAUAAAUUAUGAAAUUACUUUUCAUUGACGGAAUUUCGUUUGUGAAGAUAGCAUAGGGGCAACCGAUCAAUGUCCCCGGUAAUGAGUACUCAAUCACAUCAUGUUUGGUAGUACUACUGUAUGGGUGUUCUACAUAAAAGCAAAUGUAAGUAGACAACAUUAUAAUUAUUAAUUUUGUCCAUUAUAUUGCAAAGUAAAGGAUAUCCGUGUGGUCAAAAAAAAUUAGAUCAAUAUUGCACCACUAUAUGUCUUUUUGUCAAAUUUAAAUCCUGUUCAAGUUUAUACUGCUUUUCUUACUACUCCUAAUAAAUGAUCAGAACAAGGAAGCUUGCAGUUCUGUAGGGGAAGACCGAUCCUUGACGAGCAUUUCUAGCGUGACACAGAUAAAUAACAUUGGAUGGAGCGGCUCGACGACCUCCUCAUGUACGCUGCCGGACGCUGGCUGCAUCCGAUGACGCCGGGAGCAAGGUAGUGGUGUCGUGUAAGUUCAUUUUAGAUGCUAAGGACUAUUAUGCACAACUUAGUACUAUUCUCUUGAAAGAUAAACUACUUUGUCUGACAUGCAUACUUGCGAUUAUGUAGACUUAACAUGUUUUUACACAGGUGCAGAUUACGAACGCUAAUUAUUUGCACAUAUAGUACGGUUGCACAUCUCUUUUUUUUGUCCUGAUAAGUUAUAAAAAAUAUAACUAUUAAAGUAUCUUUAAUACACAUAAAUUUUUUUAGUAAAAAAUAAUGUGGAUGUUUCCUGCACGACAAAGAUCUCAUAUAAACAAAUGAUUAUGUAUGUGAUAUACAUAUGUGUAGCAAGGAUAGAAAGUACAAUAAACUUUCAAGCACAUUAAUCUGAAAAGAAAUCCUCUUAUGAUUUUCUUUGCACAAAUAUGAUAGUGAAAUACGAUUAAUCUAUCACACAACUCCAAUUCAAUCGUGAAAGAUUUUCUUUAAGAAUUUAUUGGUUAAUACAAGAAUAUAAAAUACAAAUAACCUAUGGUGCUUAGCGUAAUCAAGAAUUGCAGAAAUCAAACUUUUAUAUAUUAUUUGCUACAGUGUUACAUACUACUUCUCCAAAUAAUUCUUUUUAGUCUGCAUAUAAGAUUUGCCUGAAGUCAAACUUCAUAAAGUUUGAGCAUAUUUAUAUUGAAAAAUAUUAACAUGUACAAUACUAAAGUCACAGAGUAUAAAAAUUAAGAUUCAUGCCGCAUUUAAUGAUAUUGAUUACACAUUGAGAAUAUUGAUAUUUUUUCUGUAAGUUGGUCAAACUUUACGUUGUUUUACUUCAAAUAAAUCUUCUAUACAGAGUAAAAUAUCUGGCGGGAGUAUUUAAUAUUAGAAGUGCUAGCCCGUGCUGAUGCACGGGUUGAUGACUAGUAGAUUAUUAACUAUCAAAGUCAUAUGGCCCUAGCAAGACAUUGUUCAGGCCGCCCAGCUUGAUCAACUCCUCGUUAUCGUUGAUAACUGUCUGGCUUUUCAUGGGAAGCUCAUGCCGGCAGUUGCUGACAUGGUCAGUCGCCUUCUCCACACACUCGGGCAGUUCAAAGAACCACGGGCCGUCGGCGUCGCCCAUGGGGACACGGAAGUCCCUGAGCAUGGCGUCGCAGAGGCCGAGGGUACCGAUAGCAGCAUCGUAAUCCACCUGGCAAUACCUGAGGCCGAGCGCCUCCUCCGUACCUUUCUUGGCUUUCUGGAGUGCUUCCUUCACCUUGCCGCCGGCAGCCGCCAUGUGGAUCUUGAGGAUGUCAACGGCGACGAGCGACAGGUCGCGGAGGUCCUUGGACUCAGAGCUCCUUUUGUCGGACCGGAGAGUCUGCACGCAGAAUUCCUGGGUGACGUUCAGGUGCUUGUUGCGGCAGCUGCUCGAAGCGUUCUUGCAGGUUUCUACCACGAGGUCUACCACCUUGACCUUGUCGUUGCGCCGCCGGCAUGUGCGCCGAUGCACACAAAAAGGAGCAUGAUUGCAACCAAGAAGGCAGCGGUCGCCCGUGUGGUUGCCAUUGCUGCAAGGAUAGCUGCAAUUGUAUUGUAGGCUUUGUAGCUGAGAGAGAGGUGAAGAUGAAUUGAUAGUCAGAUUUUGUAGUGCAAAGAUGGAGGUGGUGUACGGUUCUUGUGACAUCUAUAUAGUGCAGCAGCAGGUUCAUAAAUCCAAUGCAGCUUAGUCACGGAUAUCCAAAUAAUUAGUAUUUCAGACACUAUAUGCGCAGAUAUGUGUUGGAAAAAUGAGCAAAUUACUACGAGAUUUAAUCCGAAUAAAUAGGAAAUAGAUCAUGACAGCAAUAGCAGAUAUUAAACUAAUCAUGCGAACUAGCAUACUAGAUGAACAGAUCACAUCUAGGACACAUACUAGAAACAUGAGUUCUACGGUGCAGCACCGCCGGCGUUGACGUUGUCGCCCAUGUCGUCGAGGAUGAGGUUGCCGAGGUCGGGGAAGAAGUCGUCGUUCGCGAAGUCGUCGCUGCCAGCAGUCGCGCGAGUGCGCUCCCCAAAAACCUGAUCGCCCCUCUCCCAUACAGGAUCACGAGAGGCAGGGUUCUAGAGGCCUGCUGUCCCUUCUCCCGGUGCACGCCGAAAGGAGGGAUGGAGAAGACUUGCUUGGCGGCGCAAUGAUCUGGAACGGUGGUCAGAAACCAUACGAAGCGGCGGCGGCUAGGAUAGACGUCUGCCUGACUAUAUAGUGCGGGCCGGGUAGGUCCUGGGAGUAAACCCCACGUCCGAGUCAUCACGAUCCAAAAGAAUCGGAAAUGGUUCAGUAAUUAAUGAGUCCAUUAAUUAUUAAUUAAUGACUCAUUAAUUUUUCCCGAGCAGCAAAAAUAUAGACAGCGUGCAUAGCUCUGUCCUCGGCUUGGCUCAAUCCCGCGGCGCGGCGGGGCGGGGCGAGGCGAGCGAGGAGGAGGAGCGCGCGUGUAGGUCUCCUCUUCUCAUGCUCAUACAAGUGGUAGAAAAGCUCACCUUAUAAAGAGGUGCAACUCUCUCUCAACUUUCGGGGUGGGACUAAACUUUAGUCUCACCCACUCCACUCACAUGUGUGCAUGAAUGGGCCAAGAGAAUUUCAGAAUUUUAGUUGGGCUUUGGGCCAAGGCCUACUAGCAAAAUUCCAACAAUCCCCCACAAAGUCUCAUUGGCACAUCUCAUCAUUUAGUUCCAAAACAUUGUUUAUAUACCGGUGCUUAGUGGAGACUGUGAAGUUGAACUUCCACUUAAAGAUUUAUGCUACACUAGAUCACAACUUGAAUAGUGGACUAUGCCUUGAACUACAAGUUUUCUGCGAAACUAGUUUCACACAAAUUCUUGACCGAUACUGGGCUGCCGCAAGGCUUCCCCGCGGGUGGAGCGUAUACGCCAUACUCCAGGGCAUUUUCAUGAAUUUAUUAGAGAACACCCAAUUCUCACAGACUGCGACGUUAACAGUCAAAUUCAUAUAGGUGUGUUCCUCAGAAGAUGUUCUGCAGGACAACAUCUCUGCUUACCCGAAUAAGCCACUUGGAACACAUUAAGAUAAGUAUCAACCUGCCAUGCAGAUCAGGAGAGUAUUGCAUCUUCACGGAGUGGGAUAGUUAAUAUAGGGAUACUCUCCUCCCAGCUGACCAACAGCUUGUCUCCCACUUCUACUUCACGGGAUCUCCGAUCACAUAGAGUGGGUUACCACUAUGGACAACUCAUGCGGUGGGUCUCAAACCCAUCUCCAUCGAUGCAUUAUCUAUCACAUUAUGUGAUAGACCCUUUGUGAAGGGAUCUGCCAUGUUUUUCGAUGUUUGGAUAUAAUCCAACGUAAUAACUCCGGAGUUCCUCAAUUUUCUGACAGAUUUUAGUCUCCUCUUCACAUGUCUUGAGGACUUCAUAUUGUCCUUCGAACUGUUUAUCUUGACAAUCACAGUUUGAUUAUCACAGUUCAUCAGGAUAGGGGGUAUUGGUUUUUCAACCAUAGGUAAGUCCAUCAAGAGUUCACGAAGCCACUCUGCUUCAACAGUGGCAGUGUCUAAUGCUGUGAGUUCUGCUUCCAUAGUUGACCUCAUUAAGAUGGUCUGCUUGCAAGACUUCCAGGAAAUAGCGCCACCACCAAGUGUAAAAACAUAACCACUCGUGGGCUUUAUCUCAUCAGAAUCAGAUAUCCAGUUUAAGUCACUAUAACCCUGCAGUACCCUUGGAUACCCGGUGUAGUGAAUCCCAUAGCUCGCGUAGCCUUUCAAAUAGCGAAUAACUCUCUCAAGAGCAUGCCAAUGAUCAUCUCCCGGUUUUGACACAAACCGACUCAGCUUGCUCACAGCAAAAGAGAUGUCAGGCCUCGUGGCACUCGCCAAAUACAUAAGCGAGCCAAUAAUCUAAGAAUACCUCAGUUGAUCUCUAGCAAUCCGUUGAUUCUUUCGAAGCAACACACUAGCAUCAUAUGGAGUUGGAGAAGGUGUGCAGUCGCUAUACCCAAAACGACUCAAGACCUUUUCCACAUAGUGAGACUGAAGCAGUGUGAUCCCACCAUUCUCAUCUCUCAACAGCUUGAUGUUUAAGAUAACAUCAGCUACUCCUAGAUCCUUCAUCUCAAAACAGCGAGAUAAGAAAUCCUUAACCUCCUUGAUUAAAUCAAGUUUGGUUCCAAAGAUCAAUAUGUCGUCGACAUAUAGACAAAGAAUAACUCCUUCACCCCCACCAUAGCAAUAGUACACGCACUUGUCACCAUCAUUUACUACAAAGCCGGCAGCAGUUAAUGUCCUUUCGAACUUCUCAUGCCACUCCUUAGGAGCUUGUUUAAGGCCAUAUAAAGACUUUAAUAACUUGCACACCUUUCCUUCCUGACCAGGUACUACAAAACCAUCUGGCUGAUCCAUGUAAAUUUCCUCCUUCAACUCUCCAUUGAGGAAAGCCGUCUUGACGUCCAUUUGAUGAACGAGAAGACCAUGUGAGGCAGCCAGUGAUAGUAGCACCUGAAUUGUGGUCAGUCUAGCCACAGGUGAGUAAGUAUCAAAGAAGUAUUCACCUUCUUUCUGGGUAUAACCCUUAGCCACAAGCCGUGCCUUGUUCUUUUCAAUCGUACCAUCAGGUCUAAGAUUCUUCUUGAACACCCACUUACAUCCUAAAGGUUUGCACCCAUAAGGACGACCAGUGAUCUCCCAGGUUCCGUCAGCUAAGAUGGAAUCCAUCUCGCUACGUACAGCUUCCUUCCAGUAGUCAGCAUCAGGAGAUGCUUAGGCUUCUCUAAUAGUCCUGGGUGUGUCAUCCACGAGGUACACAAUGAAAUCAUCACCAAAGGACUUUGUAGUCCUCUGUCUCUUACUCCUCACAGGAGUUCCAUUGUCACCCUCAACAGGAUUCUCAACGUGUUCCAUCGCAAUGGUGGGUUCAGGAAUUACAGUGAAUUCCUCACUAGAUGGAGUAGGUAUCUCCUGAUUUGAUGAACUCGACAUGUCCUUCAUAGGAAAUAUGUCCUCAAAGAAAGUUGCAUCAUUCGACUCCAUAAUCGUACCAACAUGCAUGUUGGAUACCUCAAAUUUUAUUAUCAAAAAUCUAUAGCCGAUGCUAUGAAAAGCAUAGCCCAGAAGAACACAAUCCACGGUUUUUGGUCCAAGCUUGCGCUUCUUGGGAAUUGGUAUAUUGACUUUCUCCAAACAACCCCAAGUACGUAGGUAAGAGAGUUUCAACCUUUUCCUUUCCCAUUCCUCAAAUGGAGUCAUGGUCUUAUGCUUUGUGGGAACUCGGUUUACGAUAUGACAUGCAGUCAUUAGCGCCUCCCCCCACCAUUCCUUGGAUAGACCCGAAGUGUCUAACAUGGUGUUAACCAUAUCAGUUAGAGUUCGGUUCUUUCUUUUGGCUACCCCAUUUGACUGGGGUGAGUAGGGAGGCGUCCUCUCAUGGAUUAUACCAUGUUCCGCACAAAACAGAUCAAAUUCAUUGGAAAAAUACUCUCCACCACGAUCAGACCUAAGCCGUUUAAUUUUUCGAUCAAGUUGGUUCUCUGCCUCAGCUUUAUAGUUUUUGAAGAAAGUAAAAGCCUCAUAUUUUGAUUUCAGAAGAUACACAUAACAAUAUCUAGUGGAGUCAUCAAUCAACAUCAUGAAGUAUCUUUUUCCACCUUUUGUCAACACGACAUUCAUCUCACAAAGAUCAGAAUGUAUAAGCUCUAGUGGUGCCAAGUCUCUUGCCUCUGUAGUCUUAUGGGACUUGCGAGGUUGCUUAGCUUGCACACAUACUUGGCACUUAGAGCCUUUGACAGUAGAGAUUUUCAGAAUUAAAUUCAUAUUGGCUAGCCAUGUCAUGCAACCAAAGUUAAUGUGACAAAGUCGUGAAUGCCAAAUAUCUGACUCAUUGUUGUGGCAAACAUUAUUAAUAACUUUAGUGCAAAUAUCUGACAAAGACAGGCGGAACAAGCCUCCGCUCUCAUAGCCUUUUCCAACAAAUUGUCCAUACUUAGAAAUUACAACAUUAUUGGAUUCGAAAACCAACUUAAAACCAUCUCAACAUCAAUGGGAACCGCUAACGAGAUUUUUAUUGAUGGACGGCACAUGAUGAACGUUCUUCAGACGCACGGUCUUCCCCGAAGUAAACUUCAGAUCGACCGUACCAACACCUCGAACGAUGGCAUGUGACCCGUUCCCCAUCAGCAUGGGAGAAGUCCCAGUGGCCUGGUAAGAAGAAAACUUGGAGGCGUCAGCACAAACAUGUACAUUGGCACCGGUGUCAAUUAACCAAUCAGGGGAUUGAAAUACUGAAAGGAUGGUAGGAAAAAUACCGUAUCCUGAUUCCUUCAUAUCAGUAUCACCGAUAACAACAUUAGCGGACUUGCCGCUCUUGUCAUGUUCGCGCUCCUCAAAACGGUUAGGACACUUCGGAGCCCAGUGAUUAGGAUCACCGCAAACAUGGCAAAGUCCCUUCCCCUUCUUAUGAGAAUUCUUCUUGAAGUUGGUAGAAUGUGAUGGCUUGUUCUUUGUAUCAAACUUACCUUUGCCCUGAGUUUUGUUCUUGUUGUUUUUGAACUUUUUGGGAUGGAAGUUCUUCUUCUGUACCAUUUGGGCACUAGAACCUCCCUCAGCAACUCGAGCACGUGUGUCCUUUGCUCUCGCCUUCUCUUCAACAUCAAGAGUACCAAUGAGAUCCGCAACGGAAAACUCCUGUCUCUUGUGUUUCAGGGAAGUAGAAAAAUUAUUCCACGAAGGUGGAAGCUUGGCAAUGAUGCCUCCGGCAACACACACUUGAAGUAAUCAAGUUCUUUUGCGAGUGACUGUAUCUCAUUAGCCUGCUGUACAACAAGGCGCUCAUCAGUCAUCUUGUAGUCAUAGAAUUGCUCCAUGACGUACAACUCGCCGCCGGCGUCCGAGGCACCAAACUUGGCCUCGAGCGCAGCCCACAUGUCCUUGCCAUUGUAAAAUGAGAUAUACGAAUCGAUCUUCUCAAAAGCUUCCAGCUGUGCUGGAUUAAGAUCGCCCUCAGGCUUGCCCUUGGUGGCGUCAUAGCAGCCCAUGGUCUGAAACAAGUAGACUGCUAUCGUGCGCCACCUCUUAUAUUGCGCCCCUUUAAUGGCAGGCAGCUUCAAAUGCGCAGCAAAAUACGAGAUUUAAUCCGAAUAAAUAGGAAAUAGAUCAUGACAUCAAUAGCAGAGAUUAAACUAACCCCGGGUAGGUCAUGGGACAACGUGCAUAGCUCUGUCCUCGGCUCAAUCCUGCAACCCGCGGCGCGGCACUCGUGUAGGUCUCCUCUUCUCAUGGUCAUACAAGUGGUAGAAUAGCUCACCUUAUAAAGAGGUGCAACUCUCUCUCAACUUCCGGGGUGGGACUAAACUUUAGUCUCACUCACUCCACUCACAUGUGUGCAUGAAUGGGCCAAGAGAAUUUCAGAAUUUUAGUUGGGCUUUGGGCCAAAGGCCUACUAGCAAAAUUCCAACAAUAUGUAGAUCCACAUUUUGGGUGUGCUAGUAUUAAUACGUGUGGCAUGAGUGUGUUCUUGUUUUAUGUAUUUCUAGAGUGAAUCUCACGUUAUUUCCCCAUAUCAUAAAAUGGAUUUGGGACAUUAAAGGAAGAUUAUGCGCAUUUUGCACUUGAUAAUCUAUCUAUCUUCUACGUUUAUAUAUCUAUCUAUAUCUAUCUCUAUAUUCAUCCCUAUAUCUAUACCUAUCUAUAUGUAUACUAUAUAUGUAUAUUUAUAUCUACACCUAUCUAUCUAUCUAUCUAUCUAUCUUUAUAUCUAUAUCUCUAUCUAUCUAUACCUAUACUUCUACUCCCUCCGUCCCAAAAUAAGUAUCUCAAGCUUAGUACAAGUUCGUACUAAAGUUAAUACAAAGUUGAGACACUUAUUUUGAGACGGAGAAAGUACUAAUUAGGCACUCCCUAGAAAUUACCAUGUUAAUCGGUAAAAUUCAAGAUAAUUGGAAACCCAUGCCCCUUCGUAAAUACAUGUAAUUGCUUACACCAUUUAGGAUAUGCUUGCAUGAUGGAUAUAUACGAUACACAUGCAUCAUUAUUAACCCGGAACACCUUUAAGAUUACAUUAAAAAUGGCAUCCAGGAGACACUAUAUUAAAUAAUACUGCCCAUGAUUAAAUAGGAGGAAAUCCAAUUCUCCAUCGAGGUAUAUGUGCAAAGAGUUAAACAUUGAUCAUUUGGAUAUUCAUGGGGCAUAUUGCAUUUGGAAACCCCUACUCAGUGCACUAUAUAGUAUAUAUAAGCCAUAAUCAUAGCUACGUACUCCACCUCAACCCAUCCAUCUCUGCACUGCAGUUCCAUUUGAUCCAUUCAUCGUCUCCCUCAGCUACAAUAUAAUUUUCUAGCAAGCCUGGCAGCAAUGGAAAUGGUGCAAACCACCUCCUUAGCAUUCACUGGAAUUGUCAUCAUUCUCCUUUCCAUGGCCAUCACCAUUCAAGCUUCCGACACCAAGCCCAUGCCGUCAGGCAUCACGUUGGAAGCAUGCAAGAAUGUCUCGAGUGACUUCUUCAAGGUGCGCUCCACAUAUGACUUUUGUGUAUCAACGCUCCAGUCAGACAAACGAAGCAUCAACGCGAAGGACUGCCGCAUCCUAGCUCUUGUGGACGUCGACGCCAUGAAGCCCCAAGCCACGGCCGUGAUGGCCAAGGUUGAGAACUUGAUCCAUGGUGCCACCAAGGACAAGCUCGCGACUCGCGCCCUUGGGUUCUGCCAAGUGGACUACGGUGGCAUGGUGAGCACCCUCGAAAUCUGCCAUGAUAUCAUCCAGAACUUUGAGGUUCGUAAAGGCAAUGAAGGUCCGACGCCCUACGACCUGCCUGAUUGCAUUGCGAAAACAACCAAAGCCAUCAACGAUUGCUCUGACAAAACAAAGUUUACGUCGGUUACAAAAGGGCUAACAAAGGAAUAUGAGGAGUUAUCUAUGAUGAUCAGCCUCAGCAGCUCUUUGCCACAUCUCUACAUCACAUCACCCUGAUUUUUCUGGAAAAAUAUGAUUUUAUAGCGUCGGUUUUAGGGUCUGCGAGGCCACCAGGUGGGGACAACCCACCUAGGCGCGCUUGGAGGGGGCACGCCAUGGUGGGUUGUGCCCACCCAGGUGCCCCCCUUCCGGUGGUUCAUGGCUCCAGAAAUUCUCUUUAUUGAUAUGAAAAAUCCUUGCAAAGUUUCGUUCCAUUCUUAAAACUUUUAUUUCUGCACAAAAACAACACCAUGGUAGUUCUGCUGAAAACAGCAUCAGUCCGGGGUUAGUUUCAUUCAAGUCAUGCAAAUUAGAGUCCAAAACAAGAGGAAAAGCAUUGGGAAAAGUAGAUGUGUUGGAGACCUAACGGUGGCGGCGGGAAACAAAUGAGGAAAGGGUGGCGUGUUCAUAAAACGCCACCAAUCAAUGGAAACUUAGCAUAGAAGGAACAUUGAGCUAGCACAACGUGUGUGUGCACAUUGCUCACCCAAGGCUAUGAUCCAUAUACUUGUGUGCCCAACAGAGCACACUAUUCAUAGUAAAGAAUAUUGUUAUGUUUAUCCUAGUAGAGCAGUGGCAGCAAGCGACACAAGAAGAAGUAGAUGAUGAUCAGAUGAUGGUUUAUCCUAAUUAAUUAUGCAUGUAAUAGUUUACUUUGGCGUGUGGAAAUGUCAUGUGUACUAGGAAACUAUGUAAUUGGAUGUUUAAUUUGACUGUGGAAUCAUGUCCUUAUAUCAUGAUAAAUCUUUAUUAUUCAUGCUAGAAUUGUAUUAACUGAAAACAUAAUACAUGUGUGAAUACAUAGACAAACAAAGUGUCACUAGUAUGCCUCUACUUGACUAGCUGGUUGAUCAAAGAUGGUUAUGUUUCCUAGCCAUAGACAUGAGUUGUCAUUUGAUUAACGGGAUCACAUCAUUAGGAGAAUGAUGUGAUUGACAUGACCCAUUCCGUUAGCUUAGCACCGGAUCAUUUAGUAUGUUGCUAUUGCUUUCUUCAUGACUUAUAAUGUUCCUAUGACUAUGAGAUUAUGCAACUCCUCUUUACCGGAGUAACACUUUGUGUGCUACCAAACGUCACAACGUAACUGGGUGAUUAUAAAGGAGCUCUACAGGUGUCUCCAAAGGUACAUGUUGGGUUGACGUAUUUCGAGAUUAGGAUUUGUCACUCCGAUUGUCGGAGAGGUAUCUCUGGGCCCUCUCGGUAAUGCACAUCACUUAAGCCUUGCAAGCAUUGCAACUAAUGAGUUAGUUGCGGGAUGAUGUAUUAUGGGACGAGUAAAGAGACUUGCCGGUAACGAGAUUGAACUAGGUAUUGAGAUACUGACGAUCGAAUCUCGGGCAAGUAACAUGCCGAUGACAAAGGGAACAACGUAUGUUGUUAUGCGGUCUGACCGAUAAAGAUCUUCGUAGAAUAUGUAGGAGCCAAUAUGAGCAUCCAGGUUCCUCUAUUGGUUAUUGACCGGAGACGUGUCUCGGUCAUGUCUACAUAGUUGUCGAACCCGUAGGGUCCGCACGCUUAACGUUUCGAUGAUAGUUAUAUUAUGAGUUUAUAUGUUUUGAUGUACCGAAGGUUGUUCGGAGUCCCGGAUGUGAUCACGGACAUGAAGAGGAGUCUCGAAAUGGUCGAGACAUGAAGAUUGAUAUAUUGGAAGCCUAUGUUUGGAUAUCAGAAGUGUUCCGAGUGAAAUCGGGAUUUUACCGGAGUACCGGGAGGUUAGCGGAACCCCCAGUAACUUAAUGGGCCUUAGUGGUCCUAGGUGGAAGAGAGGAGAGGAGGCAAGGGCUGGCCGCGCGCCCCUCCCCCCUAGUCCGAAUAGGACAAGGAGAGGGGGGUGGCGCCCCCCCCCCUUCUUUCUCCUCCACUCCUUCCCCCUCCCAAGUCCUAAUCCAACUAGGAAAGGGGGGAGUCCUACUCCCGGUGGGAGUAGGACUCCUCCGGCGCGCCUCCUCCUAUGGCCGGCUGCACCCCCCCCCCUUGCUCCUUUAUAUACGGGGGCAGGGGGGCAUCCCAUAGAUACAACAAUUGAUCAUUUGAUCUUUUAGCCGUGUGUGGUGCCCCCCUCCACCAUAGUCCACCUCGAUAAUACUGUAGCGGUGCUUAGGCGAAGCCCUGCAUUGGUAGAACAUCAUCAUCUUCACCACGCCGUCGUGCUGACGAAACUCUCCCUCAACACUCGGCUGGAUCGGCGUUCGAGGGACGUCAUCGGGCUAAACGUGUGCUGAACUCGGAGGUGCCGUGCGUUUGGUACUUGAUCAGACAGAUCGUGAAGACGUACGACUACAUCAACCGCGUUGUGCUAAGGCUUGCGCUUUCGGUCUACGAGGGUACGUGGCCAACACUCUCCCCUCUCGUUGCUAUGCAUCACCAUGAUCUUGCGUGUGCAUAGGAAUUUUUUUGAAAUUACUACGUUCCCCAACAAUGGCAUCCGAGCCUGAUUUUAUGCGUAGAUGUCAUAUGCACGUGUAGAACACAAGUGAGUUGUGGGCGAUAUAAGCCAUACUGCUUACCAGCAUGUCAUACUUUGGUUCGGCGGUAUUGUUGGAUGAAGCGGCCCGGACCGACAUUACGCGUACGCUUACGCGAGACUGGUUCUACCGACGUGCUUUGCACAGAGGUGGCUGGCGGGUGUCAGUCUCUCCAACUUUAGUUGAACCGAGUGUGGCUACGCCCGGUCCUUGCGAAGGUUAAAACAGCACCAACUUGACAAACUAUCAUUGUGGUUUUUGAUGCGUAGGUAAGAAUGGUUCUUGCUAAGACCGUAGCAGCCAUGUAAAACUUGCAACAACAAAGUAGAGGAUGUCUAACUUGUUUUUGCAGGGCAUGUUGUGAUGUGAUAUGGUCAAGACAUGAUGCUAAAUUUUGUUGUAUGAGAUGAUCAUGUUUUUAACCGAGUUAUCGGCAACUGGCAGGAGCCAUAUGGUUGUCGCUUUAUUGUAUGCAAUGCAAUCGACCUGUAAUGCUUUACUUUAUCACUAAGCGGUAGCGAUAGUCGAAGAAGCAUAAGAUUGGCGAGACGACAACGAUGCUACGAUGGAGAUCAAGGUGUCGCGCCGGUGACGACGGUGAUCACGGAGGUGCUUCGGAGAUGGAGAUCACAAGCACAAGAUGAUGAUGGCCAUAUCAUAUCACUUAUAUUGAUUGCAUGUGAUGUUUAUCUUUUAUGCAUCUUAUCUUGCUUUGAUUGACGAUAGCAUUAUAAGAUGAUCCCUCACUAAAUUAUCAAAGUAUAAGUGUUCUCCCUGAGUAUGCACUGUUGCGAAAAUUCUUCGUGCUGAGACACCACGUGAUGAUCAGGUGUGAUAGGCUCUACGUUCAAAUACAAUGGGUGCAAAACAGUUGCACACGCGGAAUACUUAGGUUAAACUUGACGAGCCUAGCAUAUAACAGAUAUGGCCUCAGAACACGGAGACCGAAAGGUCGAGCGUGAAUCAUAUAGUAGAUAUGAUCAGCAUAGUGAUGUUCACCAUUGAAACUACUCCAUCUCACGUGAUGAUCGGACAUGGUUUAGUUGAUUUGGAUCACGUGAUCACUUAGAGGAUUAGAGGGAUGUCUAUCUAAGUGGGAGUUCUUAAGUAAUAUGAUUAAUUGAACUUAAAUUUAUCGUGAACUUAGUACCUGAUAGUAUCUUGCUUGUUUAUGUUGAUUGUAGAUAGAUGGCCCGUGCUGUUGUUCCGUUGAAUUUUAAUGUGUUCCUUGAGAAAGCAAAGUUGAAAGAUGAUGGUAGCAAUUACACGGACUGGGUCCGUAACUUGAGGAUUAUCCUCACUGCUGCACAGAAGAAUUACGUCCUGGAAGUACCGCUGGGUGCCAGGCCUGCUGCAGGAGCAACACCAGAUGCUAUGAACAUCUGGCAGAGCAAAGCUGAUGACUACUCGAUAGUUCAGUGUGCCAUGCUUUACGGCUUAGAACCGGGACUUCAACGGCGUUUUGAACGUCAUGGAGCAUAUGAGAUGUUCCAGGAGUUGAAGUUAAUAUUUCAAGCAAAUGCCCGGAUUGAGAGAUAUGAAGUCUCCAAUAAGUUCUAUAGCUGCAAGAUGGAGGAGAACAGUUCUGUCAGUGAGCAUAUACUCAAAAUGUCUGGGUAUAAUAAUCACUUGAUUCAAUUGGGAGUUAAUCUUCCAGAUGAUUGCGUCAUUGACAGAAUUCUCCAAUCACUGCCACCAAGCUACAAGAGCUUCGUGAUGAACUAUAAUAUGCAAGGGAUGAAUAAGACUAUUCCCGAGCUCUUCGCAAUGCUGAAAGCUGCGGAAGUAGAAAUCAAGAAGGAGCAUCAAGUGUGUAUGGUCAACAAGACCACCAGUUUCAAGAAAAAGGGCAAAGGGAAGAAGAAGGGGAACUUCAAGAAGAACAGCAAACAAGUUGCUGCUCAAGAGAGGAAACCCAAGUCUGGACCUAAGCCUGAAACUGAGUGUUUCUACUGCAAGCAAACUGGUCACUGGAAGCGGAACUGCCCCAAGUAUUUGGCGGAUAAGAAGGAUGGCAAGGUGAACAAAGGUAUAUGUGAUAUACAUGUUAUUGAUGUGUACCUUACUAAUGCUCGCAGUAGCACCUAGGUAUUUGAUACUGGUUCUAUUGCUAAUAUUUGCAACUCAAAACAGGGGUUACAGAUUAAGCAAAGAUUGGCUAAGGACAAGGUAACGAUGAGCGUGGGAAAUGGUUCCAAAGUUGAUGUGAUCGCAGUCGGAAUGCUACCUCUACAUCUACCUUCGGGAUUAGUAUUAGACCUAAAUAAUUGUUAUUUGGUGCCAGCGUUGAGCAUGAAUAUUAUAUCUGGAUCUUAUUUGAUGCAAGACGGUUAUUCAUUUAAAUCAGAGAAUAAUGGUUGUUCUAUUUAUAUGAGUAAUAUCUUUUAUGGUCAUGCACCCUUGAAGAGUGGUCUAUUCUUAUUGAAUCUUGAUAGUAGUGACACACAUAUUCAUAAUGUUGAAGCCAAAAGAUGCAGAGUUGAUAAUGAUAGUGCAACUUAUUUGUGGCACUACCGUUUAGGUCAUAUCGGUGUAAAGCGCAUGAAAAAACUCCAUACCGAUGGACUUUUGGAACCACUUGAUUAUGAAUCACUCUCUACUUGCGAACUGUGCCUCAUGGGCAAAAUGACUAAAACACCGUUCUCCGAUACUAUGGAGAGAGCAACAGAUUUGUUGGAAAUCAUACAUACAGAUGUAUGUGGUCCGAUGAAUGUUGAGGCUCGUGGCGGAUAUCGUUAUUUUCUCACCUUCACAGAUGACUUAAGAAGAUAUGGGUAUAUCUACUUAAUGAAACAUAAGUUUGAAACAUUUGAAAAGUUCAAAGAAUUUCAGAGUGAAGUUGAAAAUCAUCGUAACAAGAAAAUAAAGUUUCUACGAUCUGAUCAUGGAGGAGAAUAUUUGAGUUACGAGUUUGGUGUACAUUUAAAAAAUGCGGAAUAGUUUCGAAACUCACGCCACCCGGAACACCACAACAUAAUGGUGUGUCCAAACGUCGUAAUCGUACUUUACUAGAUAUGGUGCGAUCUAUGAUGUCUCUUACUGAUUUACCGCUAUCGUUUUGGGGUUAUGCUUUAGAGACGGCCGCAUUCACGUUAAAUAGGGCACCAUCAAAAUCCGUUGAGACGACGCCUUAUGAACUGUGGUUUGGCAAAAAACCGAAGUUGUUGUUUUUGAAAGUUUGGGGCUGCGAUGCUUAUGUGAAAAAGCUUUAACCUGAUAAGCUCGAACCCAAAUCGGAGAAAUGUGUCUUCAUAGGAUACCCAAAGGAGACCGUUGGGUACACCUUCUAUCACAGAUCCGAAGGCAAGAUUUUUGUUGCUAAAUUAGGAAACUUUCUAGAGAAGGAGUUUCUCUCGAAAGAAGUGAGUGGGAGGAAAGCAGAACUUGAUGAGGUAACUGUACUUGCUCCCUUAUUGGAAAGUAGUUCAUCACGGAAACCGGCUUCCGUGACACCUACACCAAUCAGUGAGGAAGUUAAUGAUGAUGAUCAUGAAACUUCAGACCAAGUUACUACUGAGCCUCAUAGAUCAACCAGAGUAAGAUCCGCAGCAGAGUGGUACGGUAGUCCUGUUCUGGAAGUCAUGCUACUAGAUCAUGAUGACCCUACGAACUAUGAAGAAGCGAUGGUGAGCCCAGAUUCCGCAAAAUGGCUUGAGGCCAUGAAAUCUGAGAUGGGAUCCAUGUAUGAGAACAAAGUAUGGACUUUGGUUGACUUGCCUGAUGAUCGGCAAGCAAUUGAAAAUAAAUGGAUCUUCAAGAAGAAGACUGACACUGACGGUAAUGUUACUGUCUACAAAGCUCGACUUGUUGUGAAAGGUUUUCGACAAGUUCAAGGGAUUGACUAUGAUGAGACCUUCUCACUCGUAGCGAUGCUUAAGUCUGUCCGAAUCAUGUUAGCAAUUACCAUAUUUUAUGAUUAUGAAAUUUGGCAAAUGGAUGUCAAAACUGCAUUUCUGAAUGGAUUUCUAGAAGAAGAGUUGUAUAUGAUGCAACCAGAAGGUUUUGUGGAUCCAAAGGGAGCUAACAAAAUGUGCAAGCUCCAGCGGUCCAUUUAUGGACUGGUGCAAGCCUCUCAGAGUUGGAAUAAACGCUUUGAUAGUAUGAUCAAAGCAUUUGGUUUUGUACAGACUUUUGGAGAAGCCUGUAUUUAUAAGAAAGUGAGUGGGAGCUCUGUAGCAUUUCUAAUAUUAUAUGUACAUAUUGCUGGUUGGAAAUGAUAUAGAAUUUCUAGAUAGCAUAGGGAUACUUGAAUAAGAGUUUUUCAAUGAAAGACGACCUCGGUGAAGCUGCUUAUAUAUUGGGCAUUAAGAUAUAUAGAGAUAGAUCAAGACGCUUAAUUGGACUUUCACAAAGCACAUACCUUGAAAAAGUUUUGAAGAAGUUCAAAAUGGAUCAAGCAAAGAAAGGGUUCUUGCCUGUGUUACAAGGUGUGGAGUUCAGUAAGACUCAAUGCCCGACCACUGCAGAAGAUAGAGAGAAAAUGAAAGAUGUUCCCUAUGCUUCAGCCAUAGGCUCUAUCAUGUAUGCAAUGUUGUGUACCAGACCUGAUGUGUGCCUUGCUAUAAGCCUAGCAGGGAGGUACCAAAGUAAUCCAGGAGUGGAUCACUGGACAGCGGUCAAGAACAUCCUGAAAUACCUGAAAAGGACUAAGGAUAUGUUUCUCAUUUAUGGAGGUGACAAAGAGCUCAUCGUAAAUGGUUACGUUGAUGCAAGCUUUGACACUGAUCCGGACGAUUCUAAAUCACAAACCGGAUACGUGUUUACAUUGAACGGUGGUGCUGUCAGUUGGUGCAGUUCUAAACAAAGCGUCGUGGCGGGAUCUACGUGUGAAGCGGAGUACGUAGCUGCUUCAGAAGCAGCAAAUAAAGGAAUCCAGAUUUCAGAAGAGAUAUAGAUUUGCAAGAUACAUACGGAUCUGAAUGUUGCAGACCCGUUGACUAAGCCUCUUCCACGAGCAAAACAUGAUCAGCACCAAGGCUCCAUGGGUGUUAGAAUCAUUACUGUGUAAUCUAGAUUAUAGACUCUAGUUUAAGUGGGAGACUGAAGGAAAUAUGCCCUAGAGGCAAUAAUAAAGUUAUUAUUUAUUUCCUUAUAUCAUGAUAAAUGUUUAUUAUUCAUGCUAGAAUUGUAUUAACCGAAAACAUAAUACAUGUGUGAAUACAUAGACAAACAAAGUGUCACUAGUAUGCCUCUACUUGACUAGCUUGUUGAUCAAAGAUGGUUAUGUUUCCUAGCCAUAGACAUGAGUUGUCAUUUGAUUAACGGGAUCACAUCAUUAGGAGAAUGAUGUGAUUGACAUGACCCAUUCCGUUAGCUUAGCACCCGAUCGUCUAGUAUGUUGCUAUUGCUUUCUUCAUGACUUAUACAUGUUCCUAUGACUAUGAUAUUAUGCAACUCCCGUUUACCGGAGGAGCACUUUGUGUGCUACAAAACGUCACAACGUAACUGGGUGAUUAUAAAGGAGCUCUACAGGUGUCUCCAAAGGUACAUGUUGGGUUGGCGUAUUUCGAGAUUAGGAUUUGUCACUCCGAUUGUCGGAGAGGUAUCUCUGGGCCCUCUCGGUAAUGCACAUUACUUAAGCAUUGCAACUAAUGAGUUAGUUGCGGGAUGAUGUAUUAUGGGAUGAGUAAAGAUACUUGCCGGUAACGAGAUUGAACUAGGUAUUGAGAUACUGACGAUCGAAUCUCGGGCAAGUAACAUACCGAUGACAAAGGGAACAACGUAUGUUGUUAUGUGGUCUGACCGAUAAAGAUCUUCGUAGAAUAUGUAGGAGCCAAUAUGAGCAUCCAGGUUCCUCUAUUGGUUAUUGACCAGAGACGUGUCUCGGUCAUGUCUACAUAGUUCUCGAACCCGUAGGGUCCGCACGCUUAACGUUUCGAUGACAUUUAUAUUAUGAGUUUAUAUGUUUUGAUGUACCGAAGGUUGUUCGCUGUCCUGGAUGUGAUCACGGACAUGACGAGGAGUCUCGAAAUGGUCGAGACAUGAAUAUUGAUAUAUUGGAAGCCUAUGUUUGGAUAUCGGAAGUGUUUCGGGUGAAAUCUGGAUUUUACCGGAGUACCGGGAUGUUACCGGAACCCCCCGGUAACUAAAUGGGCCUUAGUGGGCCUAGGUGGAAGAGAGGAGAGGAGGCAAGGGCUGGCUGCGCGCCCCUCCCCCCCCCCCUAGUCCGAAUAGGACAAGGAGAGGGGGGCGGCGCCCCCCCCCCUUCCUUCCUUCUCCUCCACUCCUUCCCCCUCCCAAGUCCUAAUCCAACUAGGAAAGGGGGGAGUCCUACUCCCGGUGGGAGUAGGACUCCUCCGGCGCGCCUCCUCCUAUGGCCGGCCGCACCCCCCUUGCUCCUUUAUAUACGGGGGCAGGGGGCACCCCAUAGAUACAACAAUUGAUCGUUUGAUCUUUUAGCCGUGUGCGGUGCCCCCCUCCACCAUAGUCCACCUCGAUAAUACUAUAGCGGUGCUGAGGCGAAGCCCUACGUCGGUUGAACAUCAUCAUCGUCACCAUGCCGUCGUGCUGACGAAACUCUCCCUCAACACUCAGCUGGACCGGAGUUCAAGGGACGUCAUCGGGCUGAACGUGUGCUGAACUCGGAGGUGCCGUGCGUUCGGUACUUGAUCGGUCGGACCGUGAAGACGUAUGACUACAUCAACCGCGUUGUGCUAACACUUCCGCUUUCGGUCUACGAGGGUACGUGGACAACACACUCCCCUCUCGUUGCUAUGCAUCACCAUGAUCUUGCGUGUGCGUAGGAAAUUUUUUCAAAUUACUACGUUCCCCAACAGUCCUCAUAAAUGGCAUUGUACCUGCCCUACAACCUAGCUAUGAGCACUUGCCAUCGAAAGCAAAAAUAUGCUUCUCCUUCUGUGUUGUUUAUCCCAAGGAUAGGAUGAUGGAUAAAGACAUAUUAAUCCGGCUAUGGAUGGAAAGUGUCUUCGUUGCAUCAGAAACAGCAGGCCAACAAAUUUGCGAUGUUCUAUUUUGGAGAUGUUUCUUACAAGAUGUGGAUAUUGGUAGGAUGUCUUCAUACAUAAUAUACAUGAUUUCAUGCAUGAUCUUGUUGACUCUGUAAGAAGAAAUAAUUGCUUACUUAUGCAAGAAUCUUCAUCGUCCCAAGAAAUUGUGGAACGAUCUACUGAUGGGAGUUCAUUUCAAUAUGAGGUUCAACAUUCGUCACUUGAUUUUUUAGUAAUAUUGCCACUUCGUAGGAAAUUAUUGCUCCCUGUCCGCUCACGAUAUUAGUCUCAUGAGAGAAGGACUGUAUUAAGACUCCGCUGCAUAUGGUCACAUAUAAAUUCAUGUUCCUGCAAGCAUUGAAGUCAUCCUCAAUCAAAACGCACAUGGGAAACUUAAAGCAUCUUCACUACCUAGAUUGUUCUAAUUCUUGUAUGUUUGAAUUGCCUGAAUCCACUACGUACCAUCUUGCAUAUAUAGCUUCCAAAAACUAAGGCUCAACCAUCAUUUAUUCCUUUACUAGAAGAGAUGAAAUUUAUGAGAAGUCUUCGGCACAUCUUCCUUACUAACUAUGGUUGUUUGGACCACAUGCCACAAGGUAUUGGUUAAUUGAAUUCUCCGACCACAUUGAUGAAUUAUGUCAUUGAUAGUGAUUCGGGUUAUGGGAAUUGAUCAACAUGAAAAUUUGAGUCUAGGUGGUGCUCUUUCUUUUACUCAAUUGAUAAAGGUGAGUAGUGCAAAAAAGUGUUAAACAAGGCAAUAUGUCCACCAAAGCAUAAGUUGAAAUGAUUAUCACUCGAUUUGUACUGGGAUUAUAGAAGAAACUAUGGAGAUAAAGUACAUAAUAAUGCGAAAGGAAUAUUACAAGCCCUUCACCCUAAAAAAGGAUUAAAUUUUUAUUGUUAAUUAUGUUGUUAUACUGGAGCUAAAUUAUCAUCGUGGAUGCAAAACUCUACACUGUUCAAACACCUCCCUGAUUGCUAUUCAAGUAGAUGCAAGAACGGCAAGGAUCCCCACCAUUAUGGCAGCUUCCUUGCAUCAAGUAGUGGCGUUUGGAAUGCUUGAUGUGUAUAUGUGUUUGUAAUAAUGAUAAAAAAUGUGAGGAAUCCUGUAUUUCUCCACAAUCAUUCUUCCCAAAACUAGAAAACCUAAUAGAUAGCAACAUUCCAAAGCUACAGAGAUGGCACCAUGAGGUUGUGAUACGUCUCCAACGUAUCUAUAAUUUUUGAUUGUUCCAUGCUAUUAUAUUAUCUGUUUUGGAUGUUUAAUGGGCUUUAAUAUGCUCUUUUAUAUUAUUUUUGGGACUAACCUAUUAACCGAAGGCCCAGUGCAAAUUGCUGUUUUUUUUUGCCUAUUUCAGUGUUUCGCAGAAAAGGUUAUCAAAUGGAACGAAACCUUCGCGAGGAUCUUUCUUGGAACAAACGCAACCCAAGAGACUUGGAGUGGAAGUCAAGGAAGAAACGAGGCAGCCACGAGGCAGGAGGGCGCCCCCCCACCCUCGUGGGCCCCUCAUAGCUCCACCGACCUACUUCUUUCGCCUAUAUAUACUCUUAUACCCUGAAAACAUCGAGGGGAUCCACGAAACCACUUUUCCACUGCCGCAACCUUCUGUACCCGUGAGAUCCCAUCUUGGGGCCUUUUCCGGUGAUCGUCCAGAGGGGAUUCGAUCACGGAGGGCUUCUACAUCAACACCAUAGCCUCUCCGAUGAUGUGUGAGUAGUUUACCAUAGACCUUCGGGUCCAUAGUUAUUAGCUAGAUGGCUUCUUCUCUCUCUUUGGUUCUCAAUACAAAGUUCUCCUCGAUUUUCUUGGAGAUCUAUUCGAUGAAAAACCUUUUGCGGUGUUUUUGCCGAGAUCCAAUGAAUUGUGGGUCUAUGAUCAAGAUUAUCUAUGAAAAAUAUUUGGUUCUUCUCUGAAUUCUUAUAUGCAUGAUUUAAUAUCUUUGCAAGUCUCUUCGAAUUAUCGGUUUAGUUUGGCCUACUAGAUUGAUCUUUCUUGCAAUGGGAAAAGUGCUUAGCUUUGGGUUCAAUCUUGCGGUGCUCGAUCCCAGUGACAGAAAGGGAAACGACAUGUGUUGUAUUGUUGCCAUCGAGGAUAAAAAUAUGGGGUUUAUAUCAUAUUGCUUGAGUUUAUCCCUCUACAUCAUGUCAUCUUGCCUAAUGCGUUACUCUAUUCUUAUGAACUUAAUACUCUAGAUGCAUGCUCGAUAGCGGUCGAUGUGUGGAGUAAUAGUAGUAGAUGCAGAAUCGUUUCGGUCUACUUGUCACGGACGUGAUGCCUAUGUUCAUGAUCAUUCCUAGAUAUUCUCAUAACUAUGUGCUUUUCUAUCAAUUGCUCAACAGUAAUUUGUUCACCCACCGUAAUAUAUGCUAUCUUGAGAGAAGCCACUAGUGAAACCUAUGGCCCCCGGGUCUACUUUACAUCAUAUAAGUUUCCGAUCUACAAUUCUAGUUUACUAUUUAUUUUCAAUCUUUACUUUUCCAAUCUAUACAACAAAAAUACCAAAAAUAUUUAUCUUAUUAUCUUUAUCAGGUCUCACUUUUGCAAGUGGCCGUGAAGGGAUUGACAACCCUUUUAUCGCAUUGGUUGCAAGGUUCUUGAUUGUUUGUGCAUGUACUAGGAGAUUUGUGUGUAGUCUCCUACUGGAUUGAUACCUUGGUUCUCAAAAACUAAGAGAAAUAAUUACACUACUUUGUUGCAUCACCCUUUCUUGUUCAAGGGAAAACCAAUGUAUGCUCAAGAGGUUGCAGGAGAAGUAACAGAUGUAGCAUUCCUUUAGCUCAAGAUGUUAAAUAUUCGUAAUUACUCAGUGCGAGAAAGUACACCUCAGAUGCUCCCUUUGGUUGAAGAUCUAUAGGUGUUUGGAAAAAACAUUUUUCCAAUUUACCAUUAGAUGAAUUUGUGAGUGCAAUCUAAUCUUGAGUGCGAAGGUAUAUUUUGUGGAACCUACAGUCGAUUGUCUGCUUACUGAUGACCUUCAUAUCCCAAGUCAUGGAGACUAACAUGUCACUAAUGCUCAUAGGUCUGACAAAAAAAUGUGGAAUUCUUUGAAGAAGAGCUUAACAGAAUAUGCAAAGGUGGAGAUAAUAGAUCGUGACUGUGUAGUUGCUUGUUUGAUGCUAUGUGAUUCAUUUGGUUAGGUUGCUUGUUUUGAGGGCUCAUAUUAUCAAACUUGUUGAACAACCACUGCAGAUGCUUUGAUUUCUUUUAUUUGGAAAUUGUUAAUUAUUGAAUGUUGAGCAUCAAAGAAAAUUGACCGAGUACAAAAAAAUAGGGGGGGGGGAGGAGGUGGCGAACGUGUCCGUGCUCUAGCACCCUCCCGGUUGUCCACGAACAUGUUCAGACAUGCGUCCAUGGAUGUUUGACGGUGUUCAUUUGAUGAAUAGAAAAGUGUAGGAUAUGCCCUUUGUCUUCAAGGCAACUUUUAAUGCUUAAAAAUUGACUUUGAUUUUUAGAAGGGACAUAGGUUUAUUGUAAAGGUCUAUCCUCUUUAUAAUAGUUGAUUUAGGAAUAAUUAUUUCCAACCUAGUACAUAUUGAUAAUUUGUUUGAAGGUUACACGAGUAAAUUGAAAUUGAGAAACUAUUUGAAAGUUUUGUGCAUAUAUUUUUGAAACUCAGAAGUUGCAACAAUGUGUUGCGGAAUCAAUGACUUGAUGAGGGGCAAAUUGAUCAAUCCUGAAAGCCAUGUAGAAAUAUCAAAUCGGUUAUACCAAAGUAUGUAUAGAACACAUCAAUCUAGAUUUGACAUAUCAAUGCGAGGGGAUACAAACUUAGUAUCAACAUAUCUUUUUGCAUUCACUGGACACUAUUCUUUUGGAUAUCCAUGAUCAAGAUAUGUUGCAUUAAAGAAAUGGUGGAAGUCAGAUGUGUAGUAUCAACAUCAUUAAUAAAGGAUAUCCAAAUUGAGUAUAUACAUAUUUGUAUAUAGAUUUGACACUAAUCAUAUGCAUAUCCAUGACGCAACUUGCAAACUUCAUUUAUGAAACCCAACUAUACGCAUUAUAAAUAAACAUCAACCUCCCAUACAUCAUAUCCCUCCAACUCCUCACCCCCCCCCCCACGCAAAUAUCCAUGCACAUAUUAGAUAUCAUUAAAAAGGAGAUCAAAACUGAGCACUCAAAUAUUUAUGCACAGAUUAACCAAUAAUAAUAGGCAUAUCCAUGACCAAGCUCCAUACUGCAUUUAUGAACCCCACUAUACACAUUAUAAAUAAAUCUCAACCUCUCAUACAUCAUAUCCAACCAUUUUCCCCCUACACAACCAUCUAUAUCCAUUUAUCCCCACCUCUCUAGGUUGUAGUACAAUUCAACGCUUCUAACAAGCCUUGCAACAAUAUAUAUAUGGCACGAACACAGAUGGACACCAUCAUCUUUUCCGCCAUUGUCUUCAUGUUGCUUUUCGUGACCACGACGGCUCAAGCCAGUGGAUCUGGUGGUGCCAAGCCCAAGGCGACCGACCUCGUGAUAGAAGUGUGCAAGAACGCCACAUUAAACAACGCAAAUGUGGAUCCUCUCAGAGAGGAAUUCUGUUUAACGACCCUCUAGUCAGACAAUCGAAGCGCUGAGGCUAAGGAACUCCGUGACUUGCUGCAAGUCACCGUCGACAUCCUUAGGGGUCGAGUCACUACUACCAGCAGCAAGGUCAAGAAAAUGUUGGAAAACACCAAGAAGGGCACGGUGCCAAUGCGCGUCUUCAGUUUGUGUGAGGUGGAUUAUGACACCAUGGUGAGCGUCAUCAACAUAUGUGAUGCCAUUAUCAAGGAUUACCAACGUGACGAGGGCAGGCAAUGGUCCAAAGAGCUAGUCCGUUGGAUGGAUAUGGCACGUGAUCAUGUCAAUGAGUGCAUCUCUGAGCUUGUUGACAUGCCUGCAGUGGGGGCUCUUGUCAAUGAAAACAAUGAAUUGGGAAUGCUGGUUAAACUGAACACCGCCUUGGUAGCAGCCCGUAUGUUUCCCGAGUAAUAGGAUGUUUGUGUUUAUAUGGCAGAAAAUAUGUCGAUGAGAAAUAAAUUGUACUAUUAAUAGUUAUUACUAUAAAUAUAAUGAUAAAUGUGUUGUGGCAUCAAUAUGCAUGGUUUUCCACAAAUUUUUCAUUUUGCUAUGAUAAUUCUAGAUUUUUUGGGGCCCAUUCGUCUUUCUUUCUUCAAAGUCUUACAAUAAUGACAUCUAUCACUCGUUGUGGAACCUCUCUUUUAAAUUGGCUCUUGAAAUCCGAUUGUCAGUAUUUUUUUAAUAUACCAUUGUUAGUAUGUUAUUCUGAUGUGUUGAACUUAUCUAUCUCCCAAGUUAUCUCUAUGCGUGAAUAUUUUCAAGUAUGAAGAGCCAAGGUCAAUGUAACAGCGCAAACAAUUGCAACCACCCGUUUAGCCAACAGGCUACUACCAUCUACGUGUCAAUCCUUAUCUUUACAUAAUAUAAUAAUAAAGAACGGAGGCUUUCAUAUUGUCCAUCACUCAUCUGUUUAUAUCGAUCGAUUUUAUGUUAACCAUAAAAAUUAACGGCUGGGAUUUAAAAAUAAAUCAACACACAUGUAAUAAGAAAAGCAAACAAACAAACGCUAUGGAACAAAGUAAAAAAAGUCAUGAACGUUGCACGUCUCUCUUGACGAUGAGAAAAAGGAAAACAAUCAUAUAUAUCAGAUCAAUUUCCUGACAAUCCCUCUUUGGCACUGCAAGCGCCGGUUAUAACUGUUUUGUGCAAACCGGCGCCUGCAGCCCACAUCCCUCUAAUGCGACUGGGCCGGUCCAUGUAUCUGCUUUUAUAUUUUUUUCUAAAGGUUCAGAAAAUGUGUGUCCGCACGAAAUUGAACUCAAGAUCUGCUCUAGUAAAUUAGCACCGCAACCAUCAGGCCACAAAAUAUCGCGGUAACUCCUCCGUUUGGGAAUCUUCCAGAACCUUCCCUAAACCGUUUUUUGGUUCGUUGGUCAUUUCCAGGUGCGAUUUUACUCGGUUUUCUUUUGUUCUUUUCCUUUUAUUUCUUAAAUGCGUUUUUUUAUCGUGUUAUUUUUCAAAAUCAAUCAUGUUUUUCUCUUUCACGUAUUUAACAAAAUCAAUGAACUUUUUUCCAAAUUCGAUGAACCUUUUUAAAAAUUGAUGAACUUUUUUGAAAUACGAGUAACUUUGUUCAAAUCUGAUGAACUUUUUUUUCAAAAUUGAUUCUACAACUAUCGCUAAUGCAUAGUGAUAAAGUAAGUCAAUUACAUGGCAUUUGCAUCUCAUACAAUAAAGCGACAACCAUAAGGCAACUGCCAGUUGCCGAUAACUUUUACAAAACAUGAUCAUCUCAUACAAUAACGUAUAUCACAUCAUGUCUUGACCAUAUCACAUCACAACAUGCCCUGCAAAAACAAGUUAGACAUCCUCUACUUUGAUGUUGCAAGUUUUACGUGGCUGCUACGGGCUUCUAGCAAGAAACAUUCUUAACUACGCAUCAAAACCACAACGGUGAUUUAUCAAGUUUGUUGUUUUAGCCUUCAACAAGGACCGGACGCAGUCAAAUUCGAUUCAACAAAAGUGGGAGAAACAGACACCCACCAGCCACCUUUAUGCAAAACUAGUUGCAUGUCUGUCGGUGGAACAGGUCUCAUGAACGUGGUCAUGUAAGGUUGGUACGGGCCGCUUCAUCCAACAAUACCGCCGAAUCAAAAUAAGACAUUGGUGGUAAGCAUAGACCUGGCUUGGAUGCCACUGUUGGUGCAAUUUCAAAAAAAAUCCUACGCUCACGUAAGAUCUAUCUAGGAGAUGUAUAGCAACAAGAGGGGGAGAGUGUGUCCACGUACCCUCGUAGACCAAAAGCAGAAUCAUUUUGACAAUGUGGUUGAUGUAGUCGAACUUCUUCUCGUUCCGACCGAUUAAACACCGAACGUACGGCACCUCCGAGUUCUGCACACGUUUAGCUCAAUGACGUCCCUCGAGCUCUUGAUCCAACAGAUUGUCGAGGGAGAGUUUCGUCAGCACAAUGGCGUGGUGAUGGUGAUGGUGAAGUGAUCCGCACAGGGCUUCGCCUAAGCACUAUGACAACUAGUCGUCUACCCGUGCGUUCGCACGGGCUAUAGAAAUUAUAUAUUUACAAAAUCUUCACAAUACAUAUUCUAAGGACAAUGGUGAUUGAUAUUAGAUGACAUUUCAUUUUCCUAUCCUCACUGUAAUGGAUGAGCCCAAAAUUAGAAAGAUAACAAUACAUGCCAUAGCAUUAAUAAUUAACAUAGAGAACCUUUUGUUGUAUAAAUCAUUCUUAGAUUCUCGUUGACAACCUUGAAUCAUAAGAACUGGCCAAAUUAUGUCUCUGUAUAACUUGUGUUGGUAUAUUUUAGUUAGAAAUCAAUAAUACUUUUGCUAAUAUUUGACCUGAAAAUGAGAAUGUUUUUUAUAAUUUAUACCACGAUGUAUGUCAGGAAGAACCUAUAAAUAUAAUAAAGUGGUGUUGUCUAUGUAAAAAAAGUCUCGCAUAAAUUUGAAUAUAAAGACAUUAUUUUGUUUGUUCUUGGAAUUAUUAUAUCCUCGAGUAAUAUUGUAUGAAUAAAUAUAUGACAACCCAAUUGUAUAGUUGGAUUAUUUUUAAUAUGCAGAACUCCAAAGCACGGAAGGUUCAUAUUAGAAUUUUUAAUGCAUGUAAUGUAUCAAAUUCUGAAGUAGAUUUGAAAGUCUGAUAUCAUAAUACAUUUCACAAUGACUCCAAAAAAGAUUUUGGUUGAUGGCUUGCGUGAAAUUUGUUUCAUUAGAUUUUUCACAUGAAAUAUGUUCAGAGUAUUACUCUUUGAACUUGUUGUGUUUGCAUGUUCGAGCAAAAAAUAAUUAUCAAGUUUAAUAGUAAGAAACUUAAAAUGAUUAGAAACUUUAAAUAGUAUUGGGACUCAUAGAGUGCAAUUUUUAAAUGUUACCAGUUCCUCUCAUCAUGGGCGUAGUCAAUUGGAACACUUGGUUUGUUUUUCCUGUUUGCAGUUGAGAAGGUGAAUCUUACUGACUACAUAUAAUGUAUUGAUUUCUACUCCAGCACGUACGCCAUGACAAACUUGUACCUGCUGCGAGGCCCUCUCGAGCAAUCGAUACAUACAUAUGUUAGUGCGUAUACUUUCUUUUAAUGUAUAUACUUGUCUUUGCUAUAGCCUUCUUCCUACAUCUGCGAGUAAGCAGCAACCUGUUUUUUUAAUAAUUGUCACCUUGAACAUGGCACACAUGAACCCUAUAUUCCUCCAUUGCCGAACCAUCUAAAACAACUAACUUUUCCUUACUCACUGACACACGGUUUUAAGCAUCAUCCCAUACUGUUCAUUUUUCAUAUUCUAAUAUGUUUUCCAAACUGAGAAAAUGAUACAACCAAUCAUAUCUAGCGAAAUUGUUCUGCAACUUUCUUGCUGUAAGCAUGAUAUAAUUCUUCCUUGAAAUUGAUGGGAAAUAGGCUAAAGGGUAAUCUGUUUCUAUUAAAAACUACAACGCAGAAUCAGGUUUUUCGUCUUAGUUUGCAAACCCUAAACAAGAAUCGAACGAAAUUGGUACCACUGGAAAGCUUGCAACGUAUCCCAUAACUUUUACCACUGUCUUAAUUUCAGAUUAUGCAAUGUUUUAUCACAGUUUUAAACUUAACUCUACCGGCUCAGACAACCCAUGCCUAGAUAAAUACUUAGCGUCAGUCUCUCCAAUCCAUCUUUCUACUUUGCCAAUAAUGACUAAUUAGGGUUUACCUUUUCUGUGUGGAAUCAUUCUUCCAGUUCCAUGGCAAGAUCACAAAUUUUGGACGACCCAACGGAUUCUCCUUCCUCCAGAGUCUUCUUCUCCGCUCAGAUUGGCUACUGCGCCUUACUCUUCUGAUUACAUGUAUUCCCUUCUCUCUUCUGACUAAAUUCUCCCUGGUGCAAUAUGUGCAGUCUACUGCCUUGAGCUGCUCCUUGUCAUAGCUUGCUCUGCACUCCAGAUCUCUUGCUCUGAUUGGUGGCUGGAUCAAAUGCAACCCACCCAACAGUAGUUAGCUCAACAUAAGCGGCUUCAAAAAAACGCAAGGAGCAGCACAUAAACGUAAAGGUCGACGACUGAAAAUGGCAACACCAUCCUAGAGCAGUGGAGCUCACGGCUAUACGUAGAACUUGGUGGUGGUAGUCAUGAACAGCGACCAGCACCAGCCUCCGGUAGAAGGGGGCAGUUCAUCCAUGUGCUUGAGUGUUGACGGCUGGCCAUAUUGUGAACGACAGAGUCGUCAAUUCUGACUAAGUGUAGUCUCAUGCUGAUUCUCUACUGCCGCAUAGGCAUGUCCGGCGGUGGCCAGCGUGACUGCAUGCUGGGUCAUCGAUCAAUGAUCCGGGCAAUUCAAUUGUAAACCCCAAAAAAGCAAAUUCAAAGCAAAUCAGUGUGAGAUGAGGAACCUGAUUUAGAUAAGGAACAAAAUUCUAAUGUGAUAACUUCAGCGAGAGCUUGGGAUCCAUGCCCUAACAUCCUUGCUCCAAUUUGAGAGAGAGAACGAUCUGUUUACCAUGUGUGAAGUAAAGAGAGACAUGAGAGAAGAGAUAUAUGAGAGUUUGAGAGAGGGAGAAACGGGAUAGAUUGAGAGAGAUAGACGAAGAUAAAUAUGACAGUUUGAGAGAGAGAAAGAGACGUGAGGGACUAAGAGAGAGAGAGUUUGAGAGAGGGACGUCAGAGAUUGUGAGAGACCACGAUUUCUUAGGUUGUUGUUUUUCUUUUACUCUGAGAGGAAUAGAAAGAGGUAGAUAUUUUAUGGUUUACUAUUCAAAAGUUUUUUUGGCAGAACUAAGCUGCCUGAAUGGUCAAAAAAAAUAUUGUUCUCUGAAGAUUAAUCUACACCGUAAUAACUCGGUCCCACCAGAUGAACGGCUGGUAAAUUCUAAUUAACGUGGUAAUUUUUAGGGAGUCUGUAAUUAAUAUAAGUAUAGAUAUAGAUAUAGAUAGAUAGAUAGAUAUAGAUAGAUAGAUAUAGAUAGAUAGAUAUAGAUAUAGAUAGAUAGAUAGAUAGAUAGAUAGAUAGAUAUAGAUAGAUAGAUAUGACUGAAGGCGUAAACUGUGGAGGGGCGCCGCACACGGCUAGGAAUCAAUGUUGUGUGUUCUAGAGAUGCCCCUCCCACAUAUAUAUUAGGUGGGAGAGGGAGGGGAGCAGCAAGGGGCGCCUCCUCCAAGUCGCCCCCCCCUCCCUUUCAUAAGUGUUGGAGGCUGAAUCCUCCCCUUUCCUUCUCCCUUCCCUCCUUUCCUUCUUCUCCUAUUUUGGUCUACAUGGGGCGCACCAGCCCACUAGGGGCUGGUCUGUCCCCUGCUUGGCCCAUUAGGCCCAUGUAGUUGCCGGGGGAUGUCCGGAACCCCUUCCGUUGACCCGAUAUGUACCAGGAACCCUCGGAACACUUCCAGUGUCCAAAUACCAUCGUCCUAUAUAUGAAUCUUUACCUAUCGACCAUUUUGAGACUCCUCGUCAUGUCCGUGAUCUCAUCCGGGACUCCGAACAACAUUCGGUCACCAAAUCGCAUAACUCAUAUAAUACAAAAUCGUCAUCAAACGUUAAGUGUGCGGACCCUACGGGUUCGAGAACUAUGUAGACAUGACUAAGACACCUCUCCGGUCAAUAACCAACAGCGGAAACUGGAUGCUCAUAUUGGUUCCUACAUAUUCUACGAAGAUCUUUAUCGGUCGUACCGUAAUGACAACAUACGUUAUUCCCUUUGUCAUUGGUAUGUUACUUGCCCGAGAUUCGAUCGUCGAUAUCUUCAUACCUAUUUCAAUAUCGUUACCGGCAAGUCUCUUCACUCGUUCCAUAAUACAUCAUCCCAAAAUUAACUCAUUAGUCACAUUGCUUUCAAGGCUUAUUAUGAUGUGCAUUACCGAGAGGGCCCAGAGAUACCUCACCGAUACUCGGAGUGACAAAUCCUAAUCUCAAUCUAUGCCAACCCAACAAACACCUUCGGAGAUACCUGUAGAGCAUCUUUAUAAUCACCCAGUUCCGUUGUGACGUUUGAUAGUACACAAGGCAUUACUCCGGUAUCCGAGAGUUGCAUAAUCUCAUAGUCAAAGGAACAUGUCUAUGACAUGAAGAAAGCUGUAGCAAUAAAACUGAACGAUCAAUAUGCUAAGCUAACCGAUGGGUCUUUUCCAUCACAUCAUUCUCCUAAUGAUGUGAUCCCGUCCAUCAAAUGACAACACAUGUCUAUGGUUAGGAAACUCAACCAUCUUUGAUUAACGAGCUAGUCUAGUAGAGGCUUACUAGGGAAACUGUGUUUUGUCUAUGUAUCCACACAUGUAUCUAGUUUCCGGUUAAUACAAUUCUAGCAUGAAUAAUAAACAUGUAUCAUGAUAUAAGGAAAUAUAAAUAAGAACUUUAUUAUUGCCUCUAGGGCAUAUUUCCUUCACUAAGAGAGGAAGGCGGUUGUCGCCCUUGUCCCUUGUUACCAGCCUACCAUGCCGUCAUCGAUCACUGGCUCACUUAGAACACGAGCUAGUAGAUUUUGUGAUAAGAGUGAGGAGGAUGGUACCGUAGAAAAUGUGAAAAAUUGUAUUUUAUUAGAGAUGGAUUCAAAACAAAUUGCUUGAGCGAGUGGUUUAUAUAUUUUCUUCAUCAAUUCGUACAAUUUUUUGGUUAGGAUAGAGGGGUAAAUGCAUUGGUUGGGUGCUUCAAGAUUUAAUAACGGACACAGUGGCAUAUUGGUUUCAUGCCAAACAACCGACAUCAUAUUUUUCUUUUGUCGUAAGGUACGACAUUCAACUGUAUGUUGGCAAUGUCUAAGGACAAUCAUAUCUGCCUUCUUGGGCGUCACGGGAGGCACAUGCCUUGUUCCCUUGAUGGAGGUGGCAGAUGGCAUGAUCACGGGGGGAGGGGAUCAGGGCAGAGAGCGGGGCGGUUGGCAGGUGAUAACCCACAAGUAUAGGGGAUCACAACAGUUUUCGAGGGUAGAGUAUUCAACCCAAAUUUACUGAUUCGACACAAGGAGAGCCAAAGAAUAUUCUCAAGUAUUAGCAGUUGAUUUGUCAAUUCAUCCACACCUGUAAGACUUCAUAUCUGCAGCAAAUUAUUUAGUAGCAAAGUAGUAUGGAAGUAACGGUAACGGUGGUAAAAGUAACAGUAACAGUUCUGUAGUAAUUGUAACAGUGGCAAUGGUAAAGUAACUAAGCAAAGAUCAAUAUGUGAAAAGCUCGUAGGCAUUGGAUCAAUGAUGGAUAAUUAUGUCGGAUGUGAUUCCUCAUGCAACAGUUAUAACAUAGGGUGACACAGAACUAGCUCCAGUUCAUCAAUGUAAUGUAGGCAUGUAUUUCGAAUAUAGUCAUACGUGCUUAUGGAAAAGAACUUGCAUGACAUCUUUUGUCUUACCCUCCCGUGGCAGGGGGUCCUGUUGGAAACUAAGGGAUAUUAAGGCCUCCUUUUAAUAGAGUACCGGACAAAAGCAUUAACACUUAGUGAAUACAUGAACUCCUCAAACUAUGGUAAUCACCGGGAGUGGUCCCGAUUAUUGUCACUUCGGGGUUACCGGAUCAUAACACAUAGUAGGUGACUAUUGACUUGCAAGAUAGGAUCAAGAACUCACAUAUAUUCAUGAAAACAUAAUAGGUUCAGAUAUGAAAUCAUGGCACUCGGGCCCUAGUGACAAGCAUUAAGCAUAGCAAAGUCAUAGCAACAUCAAUCUCAGAACAUAAUGGAUACUAGGGAUCAAACCCUAACAAAAAUAACUCGAUUACAUGGUAAAUCUCAUCCAACCCAUCACCGUCCAGCAUGCCUAUGAUGGAAUUACUCACGCACGGCGGUGAGCAUCAUGAAAUUGGUGAUGGAGGAAGGUUGAUGAUGACGAUGGCGACGGAUUCCCCUCUCUGGUGCCCCAAACGGACUCCAGAUCAUCCCUCCCGAGAGAGAUUAGGGCUUGGCGGCGGCUCCGUAUCGUAAAACGCGAUGAAUUCUUAUCUCUGAUUUUUUUCUCCCCGAGCGUGAAUAUAUACAGUUGGAGUUGAGGUCGGUGGAGCUUCAGGGGGCCCACGAGGCAAGGGGGCGCGCCCCCCACCCUCGUGGACAGGGUGUGGGCCCCUUGGUGUUGAUUCAUUCGCCAGUAUUUUUUAUAUAUUCCAAAAUAUUCUCCGUGAAGUUUCAGGUCAUUCCGAGAACUUCUAUUUCUGCACAAAAAUAACACCAUGGCAAUUCUACUGAAAACAGGGUCAGUCCGGAUUAGUUCCAUUCAAAUCAUGCAAGUUAGAGUCCAAAACAAGGGCAAAAGUGUUUGGAAAAGUAGAUAUGAUGGAGACAUAUUAGUAGGGGAUUCCUCCUUGAUGGUCCAUGGGGUUGUAUGUUGUGAAGGAGAAAGGAGACUACAGCGAAGGUCAAGUGAGCGUCAUCAGAUUUUAAUGUAGAGAGCACCAACGACAAAUUCCCGUUUAUGGCGGAAAAUUGAGCGAGAAGGGGACGUUCCGGUAGGAAAAGGGAAGGGUGCAUCGUCGAGUGGAGUUUUUGUGUUGGAACCGCGUGUUGGAGAUGAUGGAGGAUAAUAUGGAAAACCACAUAUCUUCCUCACAUAUAGGUUGGAUUUUGGUGAUCCCAGACUAUCUGAAUGGUUGGAUUUUCAGGAGCCUUUUAGGCGCCUAUCUGAUGUUCGAACACUCUCGGACAUAUGAGAGAGAAAUGGGCUUCAACCUUGGAGAUGAUCUUAAUCAUUUGUCUUGUCUAAUUCAUUUUUAUAUAUUAUAGCCUGUAGCAACACACGGGCAUUCCACUAGUAUUAAUUAGUGCUCUGGAAGACACCCGUUAAGAUGUGCUUCCAACACUCGAAGUGGGGGAUGUGUCCAAAUUAUGUCUUGACCGAAAUGCGCCCUGCAUCAAGAGUCAGUUGUCUAGCUGUAUGCCCUAUUCGCCACGCGGAGUUUCCUCGGUAAUUAAGGUAAAUCAAACAAAAUCAUUGGACAUUUAAUGACUACACCUUAUGCAUCCCCAGAGAUUGGAUCCACCCUACCAUACUAAGCCCUUCUAUCACUCGUGUUCAGAAUUGCACUUCACGUUGUCCCGUGUCCUAACCUCCACUUGGACCGAACUCCAGGAUCCAUGCAACCUGUAGGGCCGAAGAACGAGGUUGGGGGAGAGAGAGAGAAGAGACUACUAUGAUGUAAUUUUAUUUUAUAUAUACAUGACGUCCAUUCAAAGUCAUUCCAUCAACCCCUCAAACAAAUACAUCAGGUUGCAGGGACAUUGGACAUUGCCUUACCGAAUUACUCACACAUGGCGAUCGGAUCGCAAGAAGUAAUCAGUGAAGAAGACAUCGGAUCAGAUCACAAAACAAAGAGAGGAUUUCACAAUCCCUUGCAUUCAUCAGUCAUUAGUGGCAAUAUCAAUGGGAGUAUCAUAGAUUUUAUAAGAUAAACAUGUUUAGACUAUGGCAUGAUGAGCAUAAAAGUAACACACGUCAACUCUUCAAGAUUAAACUUGAUCAUCCUCUAGUAACAUAGAUAGAAAUCCAAACCGUAAGGAACUAGGUUGUUUAAUGCCUAGAUAGACCUCCGCUUCUUCACAUGAAAAGUUAGUAUAGCUGUAGCGGUGACAUGGUUAUUAUGCAAGUGUUAUUGAAGCAAAGAUAAUCAACACAAAGCUCUUGCUCACCUAGAAAAAAUAAAAAGUAGCUUUUAUUCUAUUUAAUCUAGUUAACACUUGCUUGCGGGGAACACAUGGAAGAGAAUUUUCUUUCUUGAGCAAUGAAAACAUAAAUUAAGGGAGUGAAAGUUAUGAAAACACAACAUGAUACUAGAGUAACUCAUUAACACCCACGAGUGUCUCAUCAUUAAUUCUCGCAAGGACUUCGCUUCAAUCAUUGCUUGCUGAAACUUUUCUUGUCUAGUGACGAGAUUAUGCCAAAGAAAUUAUUCAUGCAUAAGGUUUCGCAGAGGCUUAAGCUUGAGUACUAUUGAUGAGUCCAAAUUGUGUGAUUAUUUCUACGAGUAUUUUGUGCCAACUCCAUAGGCUUUGUGGAAUGUUACUGCGUUCACACACUAUUUUUGUCAUUUUUCCCCAGGACACUUCUUUUGGAACAAAUGGAAAACUAUGGUAGGAAUCACAUGAUAUUAUGGUGGAAUCACAUAAAUCAAUGUGAUUAUACCUUACCAUAAAUAGAAUAAAAUACUUAAAGGAAAUUGGAUCUGGCGCAGUCCAACAAAGUGCAACACGGGCAACCAUACGAGCGCACGUGCUCGUGCAUGCAGCCGUAUGGCAUGCUGGUAGCUCCCUCCCGUCGACUACUUCUUCCCUAUGGAUAAAGAUCGCCGAAUAGACACACACACACACACACACACAUACACACAACCACCAGAAACACAUCCAGGAGGAGAACCCUAACUUUUUGAACCCAUCCAGAGGGGAAUUGGUAAGGAGGAGAUCGCCAUCUUCACCACCAGGUGCAAGGGGACGUUGGCAUCAUCACCACUGUCAUCAUCAUCAUAAUCCACAUCAAUCUUCAUCUCGUUGUAAUAUCAGAACUCUAGUGGAUCAUCAUGCGUGUUACUUGUUUGAUUCAUCCAUGUUUAUCGUGCAUAUUCUGCUUCCCCUAUGUAUGAGUAAACCCCCUAGUUCUUAGGGAUAUGGAUGAAUCUUGGUAUGUAUAGGAGCUGAAACGUUAAUAUGUGAUAUUUUCUGUUGAAUGAUUUAGUUUAAUAGACUUCGUGAAUGUUGUGAAGGCUCCUCCCUCAAAAUUAUCACCGAAAGGUCACAAAGUAUAUUACUGUCGUUUUAAGAGUUAGCGAGUGAAGGUAAUUCGAGGUGACAGCAAAAGCAUUCACCCCUAGGUUUUACAAUUGAUUAGGGAAUUACGGAGAACCUUAGUGAGGCCGCGUCCAUAGAGAGACCCUUAAUUACCGUAGUCGUAACUUGUUGGGGGAGACUACUGUAGUGGCAUGCGUGGCAUGAAGUCUACCUAGAGUAGAAUGUGCUCUGUGCCCGGCUAUGCCCGGUGUAAACGUCAAGAAUGGUGUAAGUACAUCUAGUGCCUCCUUUGUGGUUAUAGACUACUGAAGACAAAUGUGUUAAGAGACUAAUGUGUUUGUGAGUGUACAUAGGUGAAAAGUCACAGAAGAUGUUGUUUAACCAUGAAAGACGACCCCUAAAAAUGUACGUUUAGAUUGAAUAAAUUGGUGCGCCCCUUUGAAGAAAUUGACGUGACGAAUUGGAACGUGAAGAUUUUGUUCCAGUAGUUUCUUUUUUCUUAUAUUGAUUCAUAGGAAACACCAUACUGUUAAAGGGGGUCUAGGUCAUAUGUAUGCGUAUUUCCGAAGUGAUGCUCAACCUACCUAUUUCUUCGAGUGAAGACUAUGAAAAUCUCUUGAAGUGCAGUCGAGUUCCACAACAACAGAGACACAGUUCUUCUGUUCGUUGACGAAAUUGGUCUGAAGGAAGAGUUAGGAUUUCGCCGGUGUGAUUCUCCUACCGUGAGAAAUUUGAGAGUUUAAAUUUCCAACCGUUGCCGGACUAAGGCGGUUCUCGAGUCUAAGCCCGUCAUAAGUGUUGUGGCAACGGAGGUGCAAGAAGUGCUGAAGGUGGGGUACUAUCGAUGUCAUGGUGAGCGGUCUGAGGACCGGCAUGUCAUUCGCCAGUGACAAGAGUUCCGAGGUGGUGUACAAGUCAUCCUUCAUGUGUUUCUUGGUGCAGGUUCGGAGCUAGCAAAAACACAAGGAUGCUGAACAAAAGCACCCCAUCUCAUAUGAGCUGGCGCUAGUCCAGCCUCACCGUGCUGCCGCCACCACCUAUGUUAUUUGGCUUCGCAAUCCCCUCCUCCACGGAGAGAGGCAUGGGUUUACUUGGUGUGGAGUUCGACGUCACCUGCGGCGAGAGUGGAUGUCACAUAACUUUACAAGUGGGAUCCACCAAGAUACAGUGCCAUGUAGGCAAAGUUUGCGGUUACAUGCGAGAAAUGCACCAUAUUAGCCAACUGAUUGUACCAGAAAUCGAUUUCCAUCUUUUGGCAUGAAAAUGAACAUGCAAGCCAAGUUUAGGGACCACGGGUAAAUUCAUCUCUUAAAUAAUACAAAAGGCUUUUUCAUCCUCCCACAUCCUCCCUUUUACUCAUUGGAUAUCCACACACUACAGAGGAGCUUAGUAGCAGCGCUUUUUAUAAGAAAGCGCUGCUGCUAAAGAAUGGUAGCGCUUGUCACCGAAGAGCACUGCUAAUAUCCAUCUAGCAGUAACGCUUUUGUUACAAAAAACGCUACUACUAUAGUUGCCAACGGUUGCAUGGCAGUGUAGGUAUACUAGUAGCGCUCUUAAUUAAAAAGCACUACUGCUAUUGUACAUAGCAAUAGCGUUGUCCUCUGUCGAGCGCUACUGCUAUUUUUUCAGGUGUAUGUGUGGGCUGAUAUAUAACUGUACAACUUUCUCAUGUUGCGAGUGAAAGACAUUGUGAGUUUUCCAUGAUCUUGCUUAAAUACAGGUACGACUACUGAACUGAAAUUAAUCUUAUCGUGCAUAUUCACUUGCAAUUGGUAUUCGUAAAUCUACAACACAUGUCAUUAAUGCAACACAGCUUGAUCAUGGAUAUAAAAAAUGAUUAUUGUUCUUUGUAUGCACAUAUGUAUUGGUGGUUCAUCAAUGCCAUAUGCAUCUUGGCUAUAGAUAUCCAAAUUGUUAGUGUUUUAUCUCCACACAAAUAUGUUGAUCCUCCUAUUGGACAUGCUGGUCUUAGUGCCCUCUCUAUUCACAAAUAUGUUAAUGCUCAGUUUAGAUCUUCUCGUAUUAAUACACUUCUAGCUUCUAUUGGAUGGUGAAUGCAACAUUUCAUUUGUAUUAAUAUGUCUACUUGUUAUUGCGGGGAAUAUUAAUAUGUCUAAUGUAGCUUCAUUAAUGCAACUCAACUUGAUCAUGGUUUAAAUGAUCAUUGUUCAUUUUAUGCCCUUGCAAAAAAAAGAAGGGUUCAGUGUAUGUAUAGAUAUAUUGACAUGAUACAUGUUUUAGAUAACCUUGCAUUAAUAUGUCUAAUUUCCAUUUCUGUUCUCUUUCCUCGUUCUACAGAUUUCAUAUUUGUAUUCAUUUUAAGAGUUCUUCAAGAUGCACAUAAUUUAGUCACUGGUUACAAUCUAAAUGUAAGAAAGCACAUAAUCUGUAGAACGUGCAACCUAUGUGUUAUCCAUGUGAUAAAAUUAAAAUCAACAUCCUAGAUCAAAUGUCCAAGUCAACUAAAAAGAGAUUUCCUUACAAGUAAUGUCAAGCCGCAUUUUCAAAUCACAAACAGUUUUGAGCAAUGAAUGAUCUCAAAAAAAAAUCAUCCUGCCUGCCACCGUUUAUCUCUUUGGAUGUCCACAUAUUGUGUUUUUUUUAUGGUGAGCGUCUGUGCCAAUAGAUAAACUAACGAGUUUUUCAUCUUGUGAUCGAGUCAAAGAUAUUCGAUUCUGUGUUUUUCAUGAUCUUGCUUGUACGUACGACCAUGAAACUACUAUUGUUAUCGUGUAUGAAUACUUGCAACAGGGUGCUUCAGCGCCAGCACCGACCAUGGAUGCACAUGAGUAUGCAUGGAUGCGUGCAUGUAACGACCUGAUCGCUCCUGCAGGUGAAAGUACAUGUUUCUCUUAGGUCUGUGCACCAUCAAGGCCUUGAACAGUUCCUUCAUGAGUGUCAAGUGAGACUUCAUGUCUCUAUGGUGAACAGACAAACUUCAGCGGAUAUGUUGCUCUCAUGGCACGGCAAAGACAAGAACAAUAGAUGGACUCUUGCCACUAGUAGUAUUGAUCCACGCUUGACACAUGACUACUCAUGGAGAAGACCCAUUCCUUUAUAACAUUUCCCUUUUAUUCAGUCUGUUUUGGUGAAUCAGCAGUUAGAAGAACUUCUUCUUCUGUUAAAAAUAGGUUUUCUAACCCAAAUUAAAGUUAGAUUUCACAAGGAGUGAACCAGUGACAUUGUUGUAUCCCCUUGAAGCAGAGAAGACAUGGGUGCGACAAUCAUAUUUCCAAUCAUCCAGCUGGUCUUUUACAAGUAUCCCUUCUUGAAUACUCGGUUCAAUAAAUAAGUUGUUCACACUUCACAGCCAUCCAUGUGCAUAUAUAGUAAGUUAAUAACACAAAAUCCGAGUAAAUUUAUGCGACAAUAAGGUUUAUUAUUGUUAUUUCAAAUAACUGAUGCGACAACAAAUAAUAUUAAUCACGGACAUCAUAUGAUAUUAGUAAGGUGUUGUUGAGGAUGAGAAGCAUGUACAACUCCUCGUUUUCUCUGAUGAGCGCCUCCGCACCAGGCAUAUCUGGAAGCUCUAACCAACACAUGAUGAUAGGGUUGUAAUUAAUAUCCACACAGUCGGGCAGAUGCAAGAACUGCUGCCCACUCUUGUCACCUUGGUAGUCCUUGAUCAGGCCGUGGCACACGUUGAGGCGUCUCACCACACCUUCAUACUCCACCUCACAAUAACUGAGAACAUGCAUUGCCACUGUUCCCUUCUUGGCAUCUUGCAGCUUUUGCUUGAUCUUACGACUAGCGGCAGUGACACGGCUCUUAAAGAUGUCGACAGUGACAAGCACUAAGUCACGGAGGUCCUUAGCCUCAGCACUUCGAUUGUCCGACUGAAGGGUGGACAAGCAGAAUUCUUGCGUGAUAGAUUUGUUGUAGGGGUUGUUGAUCGAGGCCUUCUUGCAUGUUUCCACCAUGAGCUUGGUCGCCUUGGGCUUGCCAGUGUCAGAGCCACUAGCAUGAGCGGAAAAAAGGAAGAAGAUGAUGGUGGAGAGGACGAUGGUAGUCCUUGGCAUUGCUACCAUUACUACAGGGCUAGCUAGAAGCCUUGAAGUACUGAAGCGCUGAGAGGGAGGUGGAGAAAAAUAGACAGAGAAGGAUGUGUAUUGCAGAGAUGGAUGGGUGGAUGGAGGUGAUGUACAUGAGGCUGAGAAUUCUUUAUAAUGCCUGCAAUGGGGUAUCAUAAAUGCAGUAUGCAGCUUUGGUCCAGAAUAUGUGUACUAUCGGUGUCCAGUAAAUGUUGAAUGCCCAUUUUGGAUCCCUACAUAUUAAUGCUCUCUCUAUGUUCCACAAAUACACAGAUGCUCACUAUAGAUCGUGUUGUAGUAACACAUAUCUUACUUAUAUGAAUCCAUUAAUGCAACGUAGCUUGAUCAAGGAUAUCCCAAAUGAUUAGUGUGCACCGAAUGCCCAUAGAUAUGUUGAUGCUCAUUUUGGUACGUCUUAUUUGCAUUGGUGUUUUCUAAACAUCAUUUUGUAUAACUGAUUUGUUACUUCUACCUCCCUUUGGGGGACGAUUAUAUUUUCCCUCAUCAAGUCUAUAAUUGCUCAUUUUUUCUUUGCAAUUUUCGAGUAGUUACAAAUAAUUCUCAGGGAGCAGGCACUUAGUUAACUUGGUGACACAAUAAAUAUUUUUGUUAAAAUAUCAAAAUUUUAUAUUUUAAAUUUUUUUAUUUCCAAGUCGAUUAUUGUCUGAUGGGUUGACUUUUACAACAGUUGUAUUCCCCCAGUUAAAAAUCACAACUUAUUUUAGGGAUUAAAUGAUGCCAGCCGGACUAACGUAUCGUUCGUAGGCACUGUCAAAAAAUAAGCAUGUUUACUGCCCACCGCCUAAGAAAAUCAAAACAAAAAUUACCAAUACCAACACGUCACAGUAUGGGUUUAUUCGGUUUCGAUUCUCGUUACUACGUAGUAGGAAGGAAAAAAAAGAGCUAGCGAUCAUAAGGAGGUAACCUGUAUCAUAGGUACAUGAUGCGCACGUACACGCCGGUAUCUUAUAUUUUAUAUUUUAUAUCUUAUAUUUACUAAUUGGAAGCACCUUUCAAGUCUUCUCAUUAAUCAACAUUAUAAAAAUUAAAUACACCGUUGUAGUAUAGAAUUUACGUCUAAGAUGAAAGGAGAACUUACGUAACAUAAACUUGGAAGGGAAAAAGAUAUAGGGAAAGGAGAAUAAAAAUAGAAGUAAAACAAAGAAAAUAAUUUAGAUGGGCCAGCCCAUUAUUGUUUGCCUUGUGCGAAAUUCUGACUAUUUAUGGCGCUGUGCGGAAAAUAGAGUUUUUCCAGCUGCAUGGGCAGAAAAAUAAGUGGGCUGGCUUUGCUGGGCCACCGCGCGUGGCCCACGUACAACAAUUCUUUUUCUAGCAAACAAACGCAUAAGACCUUUGUACCACCUCGGGUAGAAAGAUUGUUUUUUCGACGGUGAACGGAUGAAAAUAUAGGCAAAACGCACCUUGCUUCAUUAGUAGUAGCACAUAUGCCCGUGCAUUGCAACGGGAGAGAUGUUUCUUUGGAGAAGCAAUGGGAGAGAUAAUUGAUGUCUCCACCAAAAAUGAUCUCCAUAACGGUGCGGUUAGUCGGCAUAGCGGCAACCAUACAACUCGUGCAUUUUUUUCCUUUGGGUCAGUCUCUGUCUCGGGGUUGUGUCUGCCUCUACGUUUGGUAGCUAUGCGGCGACCUUUAGAGCACGGUUGCUUCGACCACUCUCUCUUACGAUGGCGUAACCGGAUGAAUUACUAAUUGUAGCGCUUAAAUCCUGUUUCAUUAGCAUAUAUAUUUAGCGCAUAACCAGAUAUCAAUGUCCCUUCUUUAUUAGGGUUUAUUUUCUUUGAUUAUUUUAGGGCUCACGUGCCCACAACUAUUUUAUUCGAGCCAAACCAACAUAUUCUCUUUUAUUGGACCAAGAAAAAAUUGCUCCCUCAGACGACCCAGUAGGGAGUGUGGUUGAGGCCCAAUACAGCCUAUGCGUCGGAGCAAUGUUUUUCUUGGGCCAAGUAUGUGGGGGCUACUAUAUGACGCUAGUUGCGUAAAAUAACGUGUGAGAUGCACAUCAGUUCGUGUAUGGACCAACACACUGGUAGGCGCCAAGACGACCUAUGUUAGGAAGGCACGGAAAAAUCCAAAAAAUAAUGAGUUGAAGGAUCAAAAUCAUGUCCUGAAAGACCCGACUACGUGCUCAUAGCCACUCGAAGAAACGAGUCCUACCAACCAAUGGCCAGCUCAAACCUUUAAUAUCAUACUCCAAUGUGAGAUUGGAUACAAUUUUUUUAACUGUUUAAAACAUAUAAAUUGCUGAAUAUUCCUGAAAACAUGAAUAAUUUUUAAAAUCAUAAACACUUUUUGAAAUUCUUUACAUUUUCAGAAAUACACAACAAAAUUGGAAACCCUCAAAAUUCACAAAUUUAUUUGAAAUCAUAAACCUUUUAUAAUAACGUGAACACGUUUUGAAAAUGCGAUUUCGUUUGAAAAAGAAACAUAUUUUGAACAUUCAAAACAAUUUUUGAAAAUGUGUUUCUAUAAACUUGGACAUUACUUUGAAUUUGCGAACACUUCACUAAAACAAAAAUAUUUUUCAUAUUUGGAACAUUUUCUAAAUGCAUUUUUUUUGGGAAAAUCUCAAACAACUUUGGAAAACACAAAGAAAAAAUGGAACAUUUUUUGAAACCUGAACAAAUUUUGGAAUGAGAACAAAGCACUACUGGGAAGAGGCUAAUUAGUGGCGUACAUAUUUUUGCUAUUAAUGACGCACUAUAGGUGCGCCACUAUUACCACGCCACUAGUAACAAAUAGUAAUAGCGCACCAUUACUAUCACAGAUAGUAAUGGCGCACCUAUAGUGCGCCAUUACUAUGCCUAGAAGGUGCGCCAUUACUAUCUGACUUAGUAAUGGCGCACCACAUAGAAGUGCGUCAUUACUAACAAAAUUUUUUCAUAAAAAAAAUUUCUAAAUUUUUUUCAUAUAUUUUUUCCCUUUUUUUCUUAAUCUCAGGUCAAUAUGCUUAAUCUCAAGUCAAAUCGCACUCCGUGGUCAAACUUGCCGGAAGGUCACCCAUCCUCACACUACUCCGGCCCGAGCACGCUUAACUUCGCAGUUCUAUCCAACCCCAGCACCAGCUUACUUAACAUGCACUUGUUGAUAUAUAUCUAUCAUAUCGAUCCUAUUAAACCUUGUUGAUGUCUAGAACUUUAUUCAUGUUCAUGAGUGUGAUGAAAUUUCAAACUUCCCGGUCCUAUUACGUAUCAUAUUUUGAAAAAAAAUUGAAACCAAUUUUUUUUCUGUUACUAGUGGCGCACCUAGCAAAUGGUGCGCCACUAGCAAGUUUGAUUUUUUUUCUUUUCCCCACUCUAGAUCUUAAAAGCCUCGUAUCUUUCAUUCUGUUAGGUUUUUCGGGAUUCUGAAAAUCUUGUAACUUUUUGAGUAGAUGCUUUUUCAUAUAUAAAACUUUUUAAUCCGAGUUCGUAUGUAAAAGUUAUGCCCAUUUUACUAAAUUCCAGAGAGAUUUUUUAAAUAAAGUCGAAAUUCAUAUUUGUAAAUUUUCCAACAACUAGACCACAUAUCACAUGGGAAAUUUAUUUCCUUUUUUUUUUGACAUUUCCAUCAUUUUCUUUUAUUUUUUCUAAAACUGAAACGGCGGUCCAGAGGGGUGGGGGUGCAAAGAAAGUAAGUAAUGACACACCUUCACAAAGUGCACCAUUAUUAUGUGUAUGACUUGGUCAAACCUUGGUCAAAGAUAGUAAUGGCACACUUUGUGUAGGUGCGUCAUUACUAAGUUUGACAUAGUAAUGGCGCACCUAUGCAAAGUGCGUCAUUACUAAGUUUGAUCAAGGUUUGACCCAGUCAUACACAUAGUAAUGAUGCACUUUGUACAGGUGCGCCAUUACUAUGUCAACUAGUAAUGACGCACUAUCCUCUAGUGCGCCACUGCUAACAAUUUUUUUAUUUUUUUCUUCAAAACUAGUACUAGCGCACCACACACCAGGUGCACCACUAGUAAUAUAUCAAUAAUGACGCACCUGUAUCUGGUGCGCCACUGCAUACAUGGUGCGCCAUUAAUGUCCAAAUUAGCUAUAGCCCUUUUCCUAAUAGUGAAGAUUUAAUGUUCUGAACAUUUUUUGAAAAGGAAUAUAUAUUAAAAUCCCAAACAUUUAAAAAAACGGAUUUGUGUGAUAUUAUGAGUUUUAUUGAAAAUUUUGGUUUUAUGAAUAAAGGGGAGAUAGAGAAAUAAACUUGAAAGGAAAAAAGAAAAAAGAAAAGGAAAGAAAAUAGAAACCAAUGGAGAAAGAAAAGUAGAAACAUAACAUAGAACAAAAAGAAAUGGUUCAACCAAGCUCGAGCGCCUUAUGCGAAUUUGUGACUAUUUUGGAAUGAGAACAAAUAUUUAUAUUAUAAACUUUUUCAAAAAAGAAUAUAUUUAAAGUUCUGAACAUUUUUUUAGAAAAUUGAUUCUUAUGAUAUUAUGAAUGUUUUGAAAAUUUUGAAUUUACAAAAAAAUGGGAGAAAAAUAAACUUGAAAGGAGAAAACACCAAAGAAAAAGUGAAAGAAAUGGAAAAAGAAAAAUAGAAACAUAUUUUAAAGUUCUGAGCAUUUAAAAAAGUCGAUUUUUUAUGAUAUUAUGUAGUUUUUUGACAAUUUUGAAUUUACGAAAAAAGGAGAAAAAGGUAAACUCGAAAGGGAAAAAGACCAAACAAAAGGAGAAAGAAACGGAAAAAGAAAAACAGAAACAUAACACAAAACAAAAAAAGAAUAUAUUUCAGCCCAGCUUGGGCGCCCAGUGCGAAUUUACGACUAUGUAACGCUAAUUGCGAUAAAUAGGGUUUUUCCACCUGCAUGUACACAAAAAUAACUGGGCUGGAUUUCGUGGGCCAAUACUGUGGGCGGCCCAUGUACGAGAUCUGGCGUUUUUCUUUUCUAAUAGACAAACGGACAAAAAAAUUGUACCACCUCGAAUAGAAAAAAAAUCUUUUCAUUGGUGAACGGAUGAAAAAAUCAGAGAAACACACCUUGCUUUAUUAGUAGGUAUAGAGGUAUAGAUAUAGAUAUAGAUAUAGAUAUAGAUAUAGAUAUAGAUAGUAUGGAUAGAAAAAUGAAAUUUUCCAUCCAUGCUAAUCAUAACAUAAAUUGUUUAAGAAUUCGUUGGUACACAUAAAAACAUCUAAUGUGAAUAAUCUAUGGUUCUUAUAGUAUUUGCUAGGAUAUCAUGUAUGUUAACGGAAAGUCAUGCAUGCAUGUGUCCAUUAUUGUGUAUAGAAACAAAGUAUUUAUAAUUCUACCAUUCUUUCGUGGCAAAAACAAGCAUGUAUUCCUUCUUUUAGGUUAACUAAGAAAGGCUACAAUAGAACACUCGACCUUUGUGCCUUUUAGAAACUUCUAGAUCACGAGUGCAUGAUGCACACAAUAACUUUUGCGUUUGUAACCAUGUUUUCUACCAACAUAAAAAAUAUACCCUUAUAUAACCUUCAUAAAGUAGCACAUUCUUAUUUCCACAUAUCUUCUAUAAAUUUGACGUGAUUUUCCAUCACACAGCGAUAUUUUUAUACUUUCGUCACAAAAUUGGACAUAAACAAUCAAUCACAAAAUAGUCAAAGAAAUGUAACUUCAUUGGAUCCAAUGUGCAUGUGUAAUAAUAAUAACCUAUAUCCAAAUGAUUGUUUGAUAUUUAUAAUUUGUCAAAAAUAUGUUAUAUCUGAUAUUACAAUUGCUAGCCCGUGCAGGUGCACGGAUUGACGACUAGUGAUAUGUAGAUAGAAUUAAUUAUGAUUACCAUUCAAUAAUUUUUCUUUAUGGAUAUCCAAAUUUAUGUUUAGAAUCAACAUUUCUACAUCAAUUUUUUCCGGGGAUUUUUUUUACUUAGUAAACAUAUGGAUAUUUAGAAAAAAUUUGUGCUAAUUGUGUGCUCUCCUUAGCCUAUGUUACAAUGCAUGGUUUUCUCGGUUAUUUUAGAAAAUGCAUGUAUUUCUCUAUUGCCAACUUCUCACAGAUGCAGUUAAGUUUCGUAAAAGUUUAGAAUGGCAGCCAACACGAAAAAGGAUAAAAGUAUCAUCAUUUGCACAUUUUUUCACCUUCUUCACUAUCUAUAUUUAUAAGGAUAUUCACUUUGCGAUUUAUGUUUUCCCAAUUUGCUACAAAAGCGCAGAACGAACAUUUUAGAAAAUAAAUGCAAAAUGUGUAAAAUAAAAUGUGUAGGUACAUAAUUAAAAAUCUUGGACGACGAUAACUGCCACACGUGUGGCAUCUAGGGGGUAUGUGCCGCACGCCCCGUGUGGCAUCGACACAGGCCCGCCCGCACGAGCACGUCCGCGCGCACCCCACCACAGCCCGCACGUUCGGUGUGUGGCGCAAUCGCCCGCACUAGCACGUCCGGGCGAGCGACCUCACGGCCCGCACGACCCGUCUCGGCCCUCGCCCCUCCCCGCCUGCGAGCCACACGCCCCGCGUGGCAGUAACCACGCGUCCCGCCGUGAUUGCCAUGGUCCGAACCCUCUUCCAUGUUCGUUUAACUGUAGUUGCCAUGUUGCUGAACUGCAGUUGCCAUGUCUGACAACUACAGUUGCCAUGGUUGCUCAACUGCAGUUGCCAUCUCAGGUCAAGUGUCGGAUGCCAUUUUUGGGCAACUGUAGUUGUUGCCAUGUAUGAUCUGGUCUACUAUAGAUGCCAUGAUUUGAAAACUUUAGGAUUUGCCGCCUACUAACACUAGACAGUUGCCAUGUAGCACUACAAAAACAUGGCAAAAAACAUGUUCGGGUAAAAGAGAGAGUUGCCAUCUGCUUACAAGCACACUAGGGCAGUUACCAUGUACCCUGCAAAAACACAUGGCAAUUGAUAGCUUUUGGUGUGUGGGAGAGGAGACGGGCAUGUGGGCGACGGUGGUAUCUUUAGGAGUUGCCACCUACUAACACUAGACAGUUGCCAUGUAGCGCUACAAAACAGACGUGUCAACAAUAACAUGUUCGGGGUAAAGAGAGUUGCCAUCUGCUUAUAAUCACAAAUAGGGCAGUUGCCACGUACUAGCACUGGACAGUUGCCAUUUAGCGCUACAAAAACAGACGUGGCAACAAUAACAUGUUCAGGGUAAAGAGAGUUGCCAUCUGCUUACAAUCACAAAUAGGGCAGUUGUCAUGUACCUUGCAGAAAACAUGGCAAAUGACAACUUGGUUUGGGAGAGUGGGAAAAAGGGCAGUCAUGGGAGAUGGGGAACAGAAGUCGUGCGCGGCGUGCGGGCGCGACAGCAGUUCCACCGCACGCCCCGACUCGCAACCGGUCUCGUCCGAGGGAGAAACAGCAUGCGGGCGAACUACCUACACACCACACACCGGGCUUGUCCUACGUGGCACACCAAAUCCAUCUUUUGGUGUCAGGAUUCGUGCAAAAAAUAACCAACGACAAUCCAGGCGUGUGGGCGAGUUGAAGACGUUCCACGCGUGUGGGCGUUAAUGUUUCCGAAAAUCUUAUAUCUCCGUCUCAAACAAAAAAAAGCCUCCUUCCAUAAGAAACAGCUCAUACGUGAAACUCUUCUCGCCUAUUAAAAAAAAGGAAAAGCAUCCCUCCCCCAAAAAAAGAGAAAACGUCUCCACUAGCUCCUGUACUUUUUUUAGGCAACCACGUCUCCUCUAUAUGGUCAGAUCUUUCAAGACUUCUUACUAAUCAGAACCACUACGUUGUAAAUUUAUAUCCAAUAAAGAAAACUUGCCGAAUCAUAGAUGGUCUCGUCCAAAAAAAAUGUCAUGUGAUACGUCCAACGUUGUCAAAAAAACAUUCUCCGUUCCUUAAAGAGAAAAGAUAGCGUCCUUAGAAAAGCACUACCAAUAAAAGGAAAAGAAAGACGGAAUCCAAUUGAUGACCGAUGAAACUCCAUAAAUAAAAUCUUCUGUCAAUCGAUUUUAAAAGAAGAAACAUCUGGCUCAGUUCCUCUACAUGGCCGCAUACUCCACUUCCUCUUCAAUCCUGCUCUCCUACAUGUGGCUGGUGGUGGCGAUUUCUCUAACCGAAGGAUAUACCCAACUCGCCAUCACCAUCAAGUGCGCUCUCCCACCAGCAGGGCCAACAACAAACUGCAAAGAAACCUGACGACAGGUGCUGCGAGGUAUGAUGCAAGAUCGACUGCGACCCCAAGCGGCAAUCGAUCUUCCUCAUUGUUAUUGUCACCGCGUCUCCUUCCAUCCACCCCGGGCAUCAAAGUUCACCCUAUUUUAUGAUAAUAAAAAAGUCCAACUACCAAGUACAACCUCUAAUAAGUUCUUCUUGGAUUCAUGCUCCGACAAGACUAUGAUCCAACUAUGAUAAUAAUGGAUUAAGGCACGGAUUGCUAACACUUAUCUGCAUAUAUAGUACGUAUGCAUGUCUUUAUUUUGGUCUUAGAAAAAAGAGAAAAUUAGCUAUUAAAGCAUCUUUAAAUACAUACAAAUUACCGAAGUAACAAGAAAAUAUGGAUGUACCAUGCGCCACGAAGAUCUAAUAGACACACGAUUAUCUAUGUGGUAUAGGUAUGUAUACAGUAUGGAUAGAAAAUAUAAAAAAAUGACAUCCGUAUUAAAAAUAUAAGAAAUUCUUUAAGAAUUUGUUUGUUGAGACUAGAACUUAAAACCGGAAUAAUCUAUGGUGCUUAUAGUAAUGAGAAUAUACUACAAACUUUUGUUUGCCAUCACACAAUGACAAUAUUAAUAAGGUUGUCACACAAUUGGAGGCAAACAAUCAAAUAACAAAAUAGUCCGAAGCAAUGUAACACUGUUGAACCUUAUGUCUAACAAAGAUAAACAUGCAUGUGUGACAACAAUAACCCAUAUCAACAUAUUAUUAUUGUCUGACAUUUCUAAUUUGUAACAACUUUGUUGUAUGCAAUAUUAAAAGUGCUAGCCCGUGCAUGUGCACGGGUUGAUGACUAGUAUAGUAUAACUCUGAGACAUGCCUAUAUAACCUCUUAUUUGCAUACGUUCUUUUAAAACAUAGCAUAGACAAACCACAUUACAUUAUAAUAAUGAAUUUGUUUUUUCUCGGUGACAGGGUAACUGUUAUUUCUAUGUCGACCAGUUGUAGCUUGAAAGAAAGUGUUAUAAAACAAUUAUGUUACUCCCUCCUCCAUAAUCUAGUGCGUAUAGAUUUUUUCUAAAAGUCAAACUUUCCAAACUUUGACCAAGUUUAUUGCAAAAACAAAUUAUAUCUACAAUAGCAAAUAUAUUUAACAUGAAACUACAUCUUAUGGUGAAUCUAAUGAUACACAUUUGUCAUUCUAGAUGUAAAUGUCUUUCUUCACAAAUUUGGUCAAACUUUGUGAGGUUUGACUUUUCAAAUAAAUUAUAUUCACUAUACUACGGAACGGGGGUAGUAUAUUUUAGGUAUAGAAGUUUUCAACACACAUUUUCACAAAUUCUAAGAUUAAAAUUGCAUAUUAUUUGUUAAAAAAUUAACUAUCUAAUUCUCGUUCAACAAAGAAUCAAUAGUCUAGGAAAAUGCGAGCACCAUUGUCAAGUCUAGGACAUGAAGCCUGAAGGGCUGCGGAUACCAUUGUCCUCCUUACCAUUCAACCAGAGGUUGGUUCACGUUGGCUCUCACAUGUUGACGGUCGUGUGCAUCGGUAUGAAGUUUUAUUUCGGACAAAUUUCCUAUGACAGGCCGGCUACUAGAAUUAUCGUUACCCUAGAAAAUGUUGCCAUGGUUCAAAUAAAUCAAAUUCAAAUAAUCCAAAUUUCAAGUAAGAUAUAGAUGAUAUUAUUGACACAAAGAUGGUCAUGGCCUCUUGGCUACACAUGAUUGUUUGCUAGAGAGGGUCGAGGAAUUGAAUUCCGUUUUCCCACCAAUUUUUUUGCGAUGUUACUUUGGCUGCCCAUCGGAUCUUCGCGCUUGAAAAGACUGCAUCCAUAGAGGUAAUGGGAGAGAUAAAUAACUUCAAAACAUCAGAAGAACACAAUGACAACAACAGAAUUUCAGGAGCCAUUUUAAAGAUAUGUUCCACAGGGAGGGACCGAUGGCAUCAUUUUUAGCCUUUGAAGCAAAAAAGACGGAUGACCCCAAACAAGUCUCCAAUUAUCCUAGAAAAAUAAAGAAUUUAUUCAAAACCAUGCAUAUUAAUAUAUCAACAGACAAAAUCAGAGUAAAAUCAAUGCCAUGAUAACUUUAUUAUUAUUAAGAGUACAAUUAAUUUCACAUCAACAUAUUUUCUUAGAAAAAAACAAACAUUAUAUAGUCGAGAAACAUCACAUCUGGUGCUACCAAGGCAGUGUUCAAUUUAACCAGCAUGCCCAGUUCACUGUUUCCAUUGACCAGAGCCCCCACUCCACGCAUAUCGACAAGCUCGGAGUCGCACUCAUCGACAUAAUCAUAUGCCAUAUCCACACAACUGGCGAGCUCAUUGGACCGUAGCCCGUCCUCGUCGCCUUGGUAAUCCUUGAUCAUGGGAUCACAUAUGUUGAGGACGCUCAACACAGAGUCAUAUAAUCCACCUCACACAAACUAAGGUCAACUCCACCGUGUGACUUCAAAUGGACGUCCGUUUUACCCGGAUUCUGUCCGUUUGGAUAGGGCAAUGGGGUCGCGUCCGGGCGGGAUGCGCUGGCCGUUCGCCCAACACGCGGACGCAUCCCGGCCGCAUCUUGUCCGCAUAGAUUUUUCUUUGUAAGCCCUUAACUUUUUUUCAUCAUUCAUUUUUGAUACAUGGAAUACAUCACCAAAUUUUGAAUAGAAAAAUAAGACCAAAAAAAUAAGAACCACAAAAAUACAUUUUAGAAGAUAUUUAACUUCCAUAACUGCUCCUGUAAGUUGGAUUAGUGCCUUCUCGAUGCAUUCAUUGUUUAUCUGCAGAGGAGGCUCGAUCUUGCGUGCUUCUUUCUUCUUCGAGUCUAAAGAAGUAGAGGUUGCUUUCUCGCAUCUAGUCUCAUGUCUAGCCUCUAAUCUAGCAACAAGUGCACUAGUCUCAUCUCUAGCCUCUAUGCUAGCUAAAAGUGCACGAACAUCUAAUAAAUUGCGCUCUAACAAUAUAUCGAUGUACUCUUCUUCCCAAUACCAAAACUUGCAUCCAUGCUACACAAUAAAAUUUUAAGUUAGCACGCAACUAGUCAAAUCUAAGAGCACAACCGAACCUAAAAAGAGCACAUACCCCAUCAUUUAAGCAUUUGAUGAACACCCAUCCUGAAUGUUCCGGCGUUGUAGACAUGCGGCCAACGACCUUCUUUGGGCGGUGGUCGCACUUAAUUAGUGGCAACGGUGCACCGACGAGCUUUUUGGCUAGCACCGAGCCCGGCCGAGCGUCAUAAGUGUAUCUGACGGCAGACCACCAACGGUGUAGAUCCGAGUGGCUAGAGGAGGAGCCACUGCCUGCAUGCGGCCUUGCGGCCCUGCCAGGGCCUUCCGGCCCAGUGCCCAGCCAGUCCAUGGCGCGGCGCGGCCUCCCACAGCCGGGCGAGCUCGAGGCUGACCGGAUCUGCCCCAAAUCCGGCCGGCGGGUGCGCAAAUCAGGUGGCCGUGAUUGGGUAGCUCGGGGGCGCCGAGGGGAAGGGGUUGGGCGAGCGCGCGUCCAAGCUGCACAGCUACAAUGGCAGCGGCGGCGGCGAGGGGAAGAGUGGGGAAAAGUGGAGAAGAGUGGAGGGGGUGCGGCUGGAGGAAGGGAGGGGGGCAGAUAGAAAAAGGUGUCCUUGUGCCAUCAACGGGCGGGCCAGGGAAGGACACGCGCAGACGCCCCGCCCGUCCGCGUGCUGUCCCUUUCACCCCAAAAGCGGCGCAAAUAUGGGCCGGGGAUGGGUCGAAAGCGGACAGAAAACGGAUAAAAAUUUUGCGUCCGCGGUUGGGCCGUCUGGUUCGUCCGUUUUAUCUCAAACGGACGCAUGCGGACAGGAGGGGGGCGCGUGGUGGAGUUAGCAUAAGGACACGCAUUGGCACCGUGCCUUCUUGCUUCAUGUGUUUGUUGUCUUCGCACAGGAGCUCUAGCACAGACGUUCUUAGGGUCAACCUCUGUCAACACAUGGGGUGGCCUGUUCGGCACGCCUGUGUAAAAAAUCAUGACACAGGCAUGAGGUAAUAGUUAGGGGUCUACUCCCUAAUAGUAUAUAGGACAAAGAUCAAUGGAACGCUCAUUGUUGUGGGCAGCGAGUUGCCAGAAACAUUUCUUCCUGCUCUGCUCUGCUCGCUCCUCCUCCAGGCGACAGACUCCUCUUCCCGGGAACGCACCCACAGUCGCCGGUGAAAGAUCCGAUAACAAGCGUGACAUCAUAUUCCACCAUGGCGUGGGUGCCGAGCAUAGUGCCCAUCGCAAGGCUAGCCUUCACCGCGCUCGUCGGCGUCGCCAACGCCGUGCUCAAUGCCAGCAUGAUGGCUGCCGCGUUUCACAUUCACCGUGCUGCCUUCCAGGUGUUUGAUUAAAUGAGCGAACCAAAUAUAUGUUAUAGGGAAUUAAAUUAUAGUUGUUCUUCUUUUUUAGCCCUAACAGUAGAACAAUCGUUAUACAAUAUUUUCAUUAAUAAAGAAAAGUUACAAAAUACAAAUAUUAACAAUGUAUAGACCUCUCAGCCUAUCCCUGUUCUAGGAAUUGGAAGUCAUGCCAUUAUAAAACCAAGUCAGACCAUUGUUUUAUCUUGCUUGCCUUUUCUUCUUUUGCCCGGAGUUGAACAGCCCAUAGUCCUUCCUCCAAAUAAAAUUUCCAUGUAUCUGUACUAGAAGGUGCUGAUUUGAAGAUGUUAUCAUUUCUCACUGACCAGAUGCUCCAACAACUCAUAAUGAUGAUGUCAAGUGCAAAGUCUUUAGGUAACUGAUUGGCAAUGAGAAGGAAUUCAUCAAAAGUAGAGAUGCCUCUGGUUCUUCCUAGUGCUAUAAUAUCCCAACAUGAGAGUGCAAAUGGGCAAUUCCAGAACAAAUGGAUCAAAGUUUCAUCCACAGCAUCACACUACUAAGGAAAACUUUAUACACAGAGAUAUAGAAGUAGCGCUGGACAAAAUGAAGCGCUACUGCUACUUAGUAGUAGCGCGUUGCGGUAAAAGGCGCUACUGCUAUCCUUUUAGCAGUAGCGCGUGUUAGCAAAACGCGUUGCUGCUAAGUUUGAACUGGGCGCACAUGGCUGGCCCCACUUAGCAGCAGUGCGUUAUGCAUACCUAGUGCUACUGCUAUGCUCCAUACUAGUAGUGUUUUUCAUGAACCCGCGCUACUACUAACCCUACCUUAUCGUUCCCGCGUGGCCGACCCUCUCCCUCUCCCUCUCAGUCACUCUCCCCAGCACCCCCCCCUCAUUGUCCGCCACCGCCGCCGUUCCCCAGCCACCGUCGUCGCCGCCGGCACGGACGCUCCUACUCCUCCAAUGAGGUAGCCCCUCCAUCCCUCCUCCUCCCUCCUCCCAUCCCUCCUCCUCCCUCCGCGCCCUCCUCCCUCCGCGCCCUCCUCCCUCCUCCUNNNNNNNNNNNNNNNNNNNNNNNNNNNNNNNNNNNNNNNNNNNNNNNNNNNNNNNNNNNNNNNNNNNNNNNNNNNNNNNNNNNNNNNNNNNNNNNNNNNNNNNNNNNNNNNNNNNNNNNNNNNNNNNNNNNNNNNNNNNNNNNNNNNNNNNNNNNNNNNNNNNNNNNNNNNNNNNNNNNNNNNNNNNNNNNNNNNNNNNNNNNNNNNNNNNNNNNNNNNNNNNNNNNNNNNNNNNNNNNNNNNNNNNNNNNNNNNNNNNNNNNNNNNNNNNNNNNNNNNNNNNNNNNNNNNNNNNNNNNNNNNNNNNNNNNNNNNNNNNNNNNNNNNNNNNNNNNNNNNNNNNNNNNNNNNNNNNNNNNNNNNNNNNNNNNNNNNNNNNNNNNNNNNNNNNNNNNNNNNNNNNNNNNNNNNNNNNNNNNNNNNNNNNNNNNNNNNNNNNNNNNNNNNNNNNNNNNNNNNNNNNNNNNNNNUCUGAUCCCACCGCCCUCCUCCUCCUCCUCCCUCCUCCCUCCUCUCUCCUCCCUCCUCCCUCCAUCUAUUUUUUUUUCUGUUUUUUACUGUAGUUUUUUUUACUAUUGUAUGUAUAGAUAUAUUGAUACAUGUUUUAGAUAACCUUGCAUUAAUAUGUCUAACUUCCAUUUCUGUUCUCUUCUCUCGUUCUACAGAUUUCAUAUUUGUAUUCAUUUUAAGAAUUCUUCAAGAUGCACAUAAUUUAGUCUCUGGUUACAAUCUAAAUGUAAGAAAGCACAUGAUCUGUAGAAGGUGCAACCAAUGUGUUAUCCAUGUGAUAAAAUUAAACUCAACAUGCUAGAUCAAAUAUCCAAGUCAACUAGAAAAGAGAUUUCCUUACAACUAUUGUCAAGCCGCAUUUUCAAAUCACAGACAGUUUUAAGCAAUGAAUGAUCUAAAAAAAUCAUCCUACCUGCCACCGUUUUUCUCUUUGGAUGUCCACAUAUUGUUUUUUUUUCAUGGUGAGCGUUUGUGCCAAUAGAUAAACUAACGAGUUUUUCAUCUUGUGGUCGAAUCAAAGAUAUUCGAUUCUGUGUUUUUCAUGAUCUUGCUUGUACGUACGACCAUGAAACUACUAUUGUUAUCAUGUAUGAAUACUUGCAAAAGGGUGCUUCAGCGCCAGCACCGACCAUGGAUGGACAUGAGUAUGCAUGGAUGCGUGCAUGUAACGACCUGUUGGCUCCUGCAGGUCAAAGUACAUGGUUCUCUUAGGUCUUUGCACCAUCAAGGCCUUGAACAGUUCCUUGAUGAGUGUCAAGGUGAGACUUCAUGUCUCUAUGGUGAACAGACAAACUUCAGCGGAUAUGUUGCUGUCAUGGCACGGCAAAGAACAGAACAAUAGAUGGACUCUUGCCACUAGUAGUAUUGAUCCACGCUUGACACAUGACUACUCAUGGAGAAGACCCAUUCCUUUAUAACAUUUCCCUUUUAUUCAGUCUGUUUUGGUGAAUCAGCUGUCAGAAGAACUUCUUCUUCUUGUUCUUCUAUUAAAAAUAGGUUUUUAACCCAAAUUAAAGUUAGAUUUCACAAGGAGUGAACCAGUGGCAUUGUUGUAUCCCCUUGAAGCAGAGAAGACAAGUGAGCGACAAUCAUAUUUCCAAUUAUCCAGCUGGUCUUUUACAAGUACUAGAAGAACGCCCGUGUGUUGCAAAGGGGUCACAUUACCUUUAAGAGUUCAAUAUUAAUAUUCUCAUACAUAUCAAGUGACAUUGGCGACUUUUUUUACCAUCAAAUCCUCACACACACACACUCUCUCCCUCCCUCUUCCUCACUCUCUCCCCCCCCCCCUCUCCCUCUAUCUCUCUCUAACNNNNNNNNNNNNNNNNNNNNNNNNNNNNNNNNNNNNNNNNNNNNNNNNNNNNNNNNNNNNNNNNNNNNNNNNNNNNNNNNNNNNNNNNNNNNNNNNNNNNNNNNNNNNNNNNNNNNNNNNNNNNNNNNNNNNNNNNNNNNNNNNNNNNNNNNNNNNNNNNNNNNNNNNNNNNNNNCACAUACACACACACAUAUUCAUCUUAUUGGGUACGGGACCAUAAUCCAUCUAUUUCACACACACACACACACGAUAGUGCAUAACUAUAUGGAUGUGUAUUAUAUUUGCCAUCACAACUGAGGGAAUUAAUUUCAUGUAAAUCGACCAGCCACAGCUCCAAGAAUACGCGGAGGAGGUGGCCCGGGUCGGCAUCGGCGGAUGUCCGGCACGGGCCACGGGCCCGCUUCCAUGCGCGUCUGUGCGCCGGCCACCCACGCCGGGUCCUUCAAGUGCCGCUUCCACCGCACCAAUUCCUAGGGCCACGGCCACGACCACGGACAGGGAAGCCGCCCUUCUUUGCCCCCUUCACCGGCCGCGGCGAACGCGGUGCCGCGGCAUCCGACCUCGCCGUCCUCGUCCUCCGGCACCGCCGCGAUCCAGUGACGCAGCCCAAUCAUCGGCCUCGAGAAUCAAGAACGCUCGACAACGCAGAGGGAAGGGAAGAUCAUUACAUGUCAUAAGAAAGGGAGUUUAUUUACUGCUCCCUCGAUGUAUUGUUUCCUUUGUUUGGAGAUUGAUUACCAUCCGUGAGUUAAGGUAAGGUUAAUGUGAUUGAGCGAUUUUUCUGAAAAUCAAAUAUUUGUUUUCUAAUUAAUGUGAUUGAGUGAUUUAAGGUAAGGUUAAUUAAUUUAGAUUUGAUCUUUAGAGAUUGUUCGUGAUUGAUUCUACAUUACUAAAUAACUUGCGUCAGUAUGGAAAGUUCUGAUCUGUUUAGAUUUCUUUCGUUGUGUGAGAGGGUGACGCGAAAAUAAACCGAUGAAGUGGGGGGGGACGAAAAAAAAUCUAUGAAAAAAAUCAGCGAAGGUGGGAGGAGGUACCAAAAAAACCAUGAAAGGUGGGACGAAAAAAACCUGAAAGCGAGACUACCAACUGCUCCAUUAGGAGUAGAGAUCCCUUCUUGAAUACUCGGUUCAAUAAAUAAGUUAUUCACACUUCACAGCCAUCCAUGUGCAUAUAUAGUAAGUUAAUAACACAAAACCCGAGUAAAUUUAUGCCACAAAAAGGUUCAGUAUUAUUAUUUCAAAUAACUGAUGCAACAACAAAUAAUAUUAAUCGCGGACAUCAUAUGAUAUUAGCAAGGCGUUGUUGAGGAUGAGAAGCAUGUACAACUCCUCGUUUUCUUUGAUGAGCACCUCCGCACCAGGCAUAUCUGGAAGCUCUAACCAACACACGACGAUAGGGUUGUAAUUCAUAUCCACAAAGUCGGGCAGAUGCAAGAACUGCUGCCCACUCUUGUCACCUUGGUAGUCCUUGAUCAGGCCGUGGCACACGUUGAGGCGUCUCACCACAUCUUCAUACUCCACCUCACAAUAACUGAGAACGUGCAUUGCCACUGUUCCCUUCUUGGCAUCUUGAAGCUUUUGCUUGACCUUACCACUAGCGGCAGUGAUACAGCUCUUAAAGAUGUCGACAGUGACGAGCACUAAGUCACGGAGGUCCUUAGCCUCGGCACUUCAAUUGUCCGACUGAAGGGUGGACAAACAGAAUUCUUGCGUGACAGAUUCGUUGUAGGGGUUGUUGAUCAAGGCCUUCUUGCAUGCUUCCACCAUGAGCUUGGUCGC